rnacentral:lncRNA from 1 species
CUCCCUGAUUCAUCUCUCCGCUUGAUCUUCUCUCCCCCAUCUGGUUGGUUCUAAAAAGCUUUUCUCAAUCCAUCCAUCCAUCCAUCCUUCCUUCACCGGUGAGAUCUCCCACUCCUCAUAGUAGUAGCUCGCUCUCUCUCUCUAUAUCUCUCUACGCUUGGAUGCAUCCUUUAUUUUUGGGGGGUUAUUGACUGGGGACUGGCGCGUGCAGGGGAAUUUCGACUCGAUCCGCAGCAAUGGCGACGAAGAAGAGCGUCGGAUCCCUCAAGGAGGCCGAUUUGAAGGGGAAGCGGGUGUUCGUCAGGGUCGAUCUCAACGUCCCCCUCGACGACAGCUUCCACAUCACCGACGACACCCGGGUUCGCGCCGCCGUUCCCACCAUCAAGUACUUGAUGAGUCACGGCGCUAUUGUCAUCCUCGCCUCUCACUUGGUAACACUCUUCUUCAUCCAAGUUUGUUCCUUUCUUUCUCUUUUUUCCCCUUCUUUUGGCGUCGAAAGUCGUUUCUUUUGAGGGUUAUCGAAGCGAUCGCGCAGAUCGAGCUGUGUCUUUGAGCUGUCGAUGCUGUCUUCCUCUCUGACCUGAUUCGCAAUGAAUAGAUCUGUGUACUCGGGCUGGACUCGUUAUGGAUCUUAUUCUCUGUAGCACGUCCUCCGUGAUCUGUUCCCUGCUUUCUCGCUCGGAUGACCGUUCUCGUGUCACCACCUCCUGUGCUUGCUUGAUUUCAAUGCUUUAUUGCGUGACCGUCGAACUUUUCAGUUUCUUGCUUCGUAUGUUGCACAUCUUUUAGUCUGAUUUUUAUUUUGUUUUUCUUCGGGGGAAAGGGGAUUCAUUUCAUAAGGCUAUCUUGUUUCGUCGUGCUGGUUUUUUAUUUUCGAUCCUUCAGUUUGAUGACCGAUGUUCUUCUUCAUUAGGGAUGAAAUCGAAAUUCCCUUUGCAGUCGACCUUAGCUCUUGCUUCACUUGUUUCUUUCUUCUCAUCAUCCACUGGGUAUUGGCAGUGGUGACUGGGGAUGAUCAUAUUUGUCCAACUGGUCGUUUUUGUAAUCUCUUUGCAAGUAGCGUGCCGAUAUCAAUCGCAUGCUCUGCUGCUUCUUUAUAUCGUGUGGGUUUUUUUUGUGUCCACGGCAGAGAUAUAUUAAUGGUUCAGUAUUCUCGGUGCUUUUCAGGGACGUCCCAAGGGUGUCACGCCCAAGUACAGCUUGAAGCCCCUCGUGCCUAGACUAUCUGAGCUCCUCGGAGUAGAGGUUUGGUUCUUGAAAACUGGGUUCGUCUAUGUCUCUCUACUCAUUCGCUUUCAUUCCUUGAUCCUUCUUCCUGUUGCUGCCAUUGUCCUAUAGGUUAAGAUGGCAAAUGACUGCAUCGGCGAGGAAGUCGUGAAACUGGUUGCUGAGACACCGGAAGGAGGAGUUAUCCUUCUUGAGAAUGUUAGGUUUUACAAGGAGGAGGAGAAAAAUGAUCCAGAGUUUGCAAAGAAGCUUGCUUCUCUCGCAGAUCUUUAUGUUAACGAUGCAUUCGGCACUGCUCACAGAGCCCAUGCUUCUACGGAAGGUGUCGCCAAGUAUGUGAAGCCCGCUGUUGCUGGGUUCCUUAUGCAGAAGGUAUGCAAUUCAUCUUUUCUGCUGCUUUGUUGGUACGAUACGAAAACUUUCUAGCACGUUACGUUUUCUUAUUUAAUUUGCAAAAGAUUUAAUCUGCUAUUUUGACUAUCUAAAUGGACAUGCCUGAGAUGCUGAAAAGUGUUAAUAAUUGGUGAUUCUAGGAACUGGAUUAUCUUGUUGGGGCUGUGGCAAAUCCAAAGAAGCCUUUUGCCGCUAUUGUUGGCGGAUCAAAGGUUUCGAGUAAAAUUGGAGUGAUAGAGUCGCUUUUGGAGAAGGUUGACUUGCUCUUGCUUGGUGGAGGAAUGAUGUUCACUUUCUACAAGGCCCAAGGUCUUUCUGUUGGUUCAUCUCUCGUGGAGGAAGACAAGCUUGACCUUGCAACUUCACUUCUUGAGAAGGCCAAGUCCAAGGGCGUGUCUUUGCUCCUUCCUACUGACGUGGUUAUUGCUAACAAGUUUGCUGCUGAUGCUGAUAGCAAGGUUGGUCUCAUUCCUAGCAUAAAUAUUUCUUGAAUGUUUGUUGAAAUAUCAAAGUUGCUCCAAAAUAACUCUGCGAUGUCUAACUUAGUAGGAGAGACUUGCUGCUUAUGUGAUUAUUAAUCUUAAAGAACGUGGUCUCUCUUUCUCUCUCUCUCUCUCUCUCAUAAGUGAGAUAUUGACCAGACGUUAUUUUUCAGAUUGUCCCAGCAUCUGCUAUUCCGGAUGGUUGGAUGGGUUUGGAUAUUGGUCCCGAUUCCAUCAAGACAUUCGGUGAAGCUUUAGACACAACCAAAACCGUCAUCUGGAAUGGACCGAUGGGUGUGUUUGAGUUUGAAAAGUUCGCUGCGGGAACAGAGGUAUGUCAAAUUUUUCUUGUGCUGACUCCACAUUAGUACUUUCUGUUGAACUACUAAACGAAACUUGCAAUAAGCACCAAAAAUUGCAUUUGAAAUCUUCCUUCUUUCUUUUUUCCUUUACCUGAGAGAAAAUAGUUGGCCUCCGUAAGAGCCAAAGAUAAUUGUCAGUUCAUACUUGCUACAGUCCUGAUGUUUCUUUUAGGUUAUACAAACCUCUGAGGAUCUUUCCAUUUAUUUAGAUGAUAAGCUUCUUAUGUGCGUCUUUUGCUGCUGUGCAGGCAGUAGCAAAGAAGCUGGCGGAGCUCAGCGGAAAGGGUGUGACUACAAUCAUUGGAGGUGGUGAUUCCGUUGCUGCUGUGGAGAAGGCUGGGUUGGCGGACAAGAUGAGCCACAUCUCAACCGGAGGUGGUGCCAGCCUGGAGCUUCUUGAGGGAAAAACACUUCCUGGAGUUCUUGCACUAGAUGACGCUUGAGCUCGAAGCUUUUUCCCCAUCCCUAUGCUAUCGUGUAAUUUUGGUGGUGCUUCUUCAUAUGCUGGUGUAUAACCAGGAUGUUAAAACCACAUCAGAGCUCCUACUGUCUGUGGACUUUCAUAGAAUAAGCAAAUUUUGUUGGGUGAAUUUUAUGCUGCGUUUCUUGGAUGCGGAUUCUCUGAAUAACAAUGAUCUAGCUACUCGAGUUUUGUACAUUUGCUUUCAGGCAUUGAAUGCAGUUAAGAAGCAUCGGCUUGUUUUUUUACGUUAUUUCAUUUCCAAUUGCCCAUAUCUUGCACCCAGGAGGAUGUUGACAGCAGAGCUGGAGGAGCAAUCCUCUUUACCUGGUGUCCCUAGUUUGUGACAUUGCCAUCAUGGGUGUUAUCCGGAUGGUCCUCUUUCAUGUCUUCUUUGCAUGCAUUGGGAAUAUUUCGGGUUGUUGCGGUCUUUUUAGAGGAUUUGUGAUCGGGAGGAAGUUGUUAAAGGAGCCUUAUCAGGAGCAUCAUACUUGCUUGCGCAUGUUGAAUGCGAAAUGAGAAAAUAUUGGAUUUCUAAAGCAUUGAGUACACAUCUUAUGAUAGAAAUCUCGCAUUGGAAUUGGAAAGAUGUUUGCCUACUUCUUAGGGCACUCUGUUAAAAACUAGGUAUCUUGGCAGAACUCAGAUACAAAGUCACUUCGUCCUUGGGUUGGAAGCAAUCUCAGUCUCCUGUUGCAGAUGGUAGCCAUUAGCCAACAAGAGACCGAUGGAGGUUGGCAACUAAAAUGAGGGCAUCUACAUAUUUCUGGAAGAGAACAUAAAGGAGCUCGUUGUCGAGCCACCUCUACCGAUUGAAUGAAUUUCAGGACAGGGCCAAUUAAAGGUAAACACGAUGGAUUACAAGAUGGAGCAGCUCCCAUUGUCCCUGGAAAUGUCACAAAUGGUCAAUCAGACAAAAGAACGCAUUACAGUCUGAACGUAUGUAGUAUUCGAUACUCACCUCUUCACGUCUCCGUAGUUACUCAGAGCUUCCUCGAAUUUAAGCCACAGUGGACCCGUCUCCUGAGCUUUCACAUUCUCUGGGCCACCAAGAUAUGCUUGAACAACAAACUGAGGUGUUCUUUCCCUGUUCAUUGUCAUCAAAAGAAAGCAUGAAUUGGUGAAAGACGUACUUCUACAGAGAAAUAAGGUAUCCAAUUUUUCCAAUUAUAUUUUCCAUAAGAAUACCCACCUGCCUUCGUAUUCUGAUAACCAAGCCAAAUAGGCUGCACCAAAGUACAUGGAUACAAAAGGCUUGUGUAGAUCAUCGGCAAUUUCAACUUUGUAAGCCCUGUUUCCCAACUCACUGUGCAUAUAAUAGUAGUGACGCAGUUUAGGCGCUACUCUAGCAUACCCAAGUAACGGCGAUGCAAAAUUGAAAUCCAAAAGACCACUUUCUUAAGUCUUCAUAUAUAUCAAGAAACCAGUGCUUACCCCGUCUGAGUUGAUGUGAAAGCUGAAAUUAGUGUAUUUUCCAUAUGAAUUAGGCGAUGUCUACCUGAGGUGAAAUAACUUUGGAGACUGCAUUCAGCUAGUCUAUGUGGUAUGAUUACUGGGCGAACCCUAUGAUGUUGUUUUCGACUGAGGUUAUACAAGUCAGCUUUAAAUAUAUGAGAGGAAGCGAAGGUCCAGUUCAGCAUAGACACCACUUAAUCAAACACUCAUUUUACAGAGCAGUCUGACAUACUUGUAAAGCCAUAAAGCUGUUGGGAAGUCGAUCCCCAUUAGUCCAGUACGUUCUUUAACCCCAUCCACAAAACGCAUGCUAACCACCUCUGCAAGCGCACAUAGGACUGUCUGCAGGGAAAAUUGAAAUUCAGAUGUAGUUUAUCCAGAAAAAAAAGGUACUAAACUAGUUGAAUCCUCUUGAUACCCAACGAGUAAGCUAGAAAACCCAAGUAAGAAAAAACAUCCUCCAACUUAACCCCAGAAGAUAACAGAUCCACCGCAUCAUACAAGAGUGGAGAGUCAAGAUUCAACUGACGAAGUACUUAAACAAACCAGGGAUUUUUUUUCUAAUUUUUACAUGAUACAUAGUUCCUAAAACUUGGGAAACCCUUUCUAUCAUUCUUUUUCCUCUCUCACUCUUAUAAUUAAGGUGGGUAUAUUCACUACUCCAGAAAACAAGUAAGAAACCCAUCAGCUUUCCCCAUCCCUCCAUACUAAUUUCUGUCCAUCAUAUAGCCAUCAGGGAGCAAAAUACAUUUUUGCGGUACCCAACAAUUCAACUAAGCAACAAACCAUUCUAUGUCUACGUUUAUAGCGUGCAAACCAUUGAGUAGAUUUAGGAAUGCUUGGUCACACGAUUCAAAAAAGUUGAUUUUUGGUUUCUCUGAAAAGCAUAAAGUUGAAAAGCAAACAGAAGGUAAGAAAAGCACUUUGCUGUAAAUUAUAGCUUAGUGAAACCUUUCAUUACCUCAAAAAAUACAUUUAAGAAACUUCCUUUGAUUUUACGAUGUUCAACCAACACCGCUAUAGUCUAUCAAACAAGAAAGCUUUCUGCCUCAUACUGCAUUAAGGACCGGUAACAAAUCAGAUAUUUGAUACCAUCCUUCGCAAUUCAAAAUCACAAUUGCAGCAUUUUGUGAACAAACAGAUUCGCGAAUAAAAGCUUUUCCAAAUUUCCUCCCAUCUAUGCAUAUGACAUAUCCACACAGUCCUCAAGAUAAUCUUGCCAAUAAUAGUAAAGGCCACCGACAAGGCAAGUGGAGUCAACAAAAGACAAGCAUGUACAGACUGAUACGAAGAAUUAAGUAUGAUUAAAUUUAUAUAGAUACUUACAGGUUUAACUUUUCUUGAUGCAAAGUGUCUCAGGAGGAUGAUUUCGGCAAUUGCCUGAAAGAAGUCGGCACAACUUAUUGAGAAUUGAUAUGUUUCUCAAUAAUACAAGUCCAUCCUAGCAGUUAGCAAGUCUGCCAAGAUGAACGUACUGCAAAAAUGAACGACCAAAUUGCUAAGUCCUAUCCAUACCCUCACUUCCACACGGGAAACAUAUGGCUUCUUAGCCGCAUCAUGUGAAAAGCGCACUUUUCCACGUUUUUCUCCGGACUUGGUCCAUUCUUUAACAACAUCAGGGUGAUUCCACAUAUCUUCCAUAUCUUCAGGAGAAGCCCUGGAGUCCCAAUAUGUAUACGUGGUGCCUGCUAUUCCAUUUUUAAAUAAAAAAUAUAUAUAAAGGAGAAAUGAAUGCAAUAAUUGUCUCCCCUAAGCACUUCACAAACAUUUCCUUCAGUACACAUUUAAGAAUGUGAAGACUUUGGUUGCGCCUUCAACAGUUCACUAAUUUAUGUGAAGUUGUGAUAGCUGAUUAGCAAAAUGUAUGCCGGUUACUUAUCACUGACAAAUCAUCCAUUCUCUAUGAUAACAUCACUUUCAUUUAGUUCUCUGGGUCCAAUUUAUUACAAGGACAUGGAAGUAAUUUCUGGAGCUUCACAGUAUCAGAAAAGAAAUGAUACUUCUAUUCAUAAAACAAAAAGAAAAUGAGAUGAGAAGAAAAGAUUCAGACUGUCAUGAUUUUGAGUGGCAGAACACAGCUCCAAAAUAGGGGAACAUUGGAAAUGUAAAAACUUCAUUAUUCGUGUUCUUUUGUUGUACAUAUCAUUGCAUGCCCAUAAUUUUUAGCCAGAGCAUGCCCUGAUAAAUGUUGGAAAGAGAAAGUAUAAGAUGGAAAACGAAACUCAUGCAAGGAAUAGUGUCAGCUGAAAGUCAGAGGCUUAACUUGAGAAGCAAAGAAUGAUAAAAUUCAAUGUAAUUGAACUUUUGAUUUUUAUAACUCCCGACUUGCAGUGAAGUUUCUUCAGAUAUUUCAACUAACAUGAGAAUUAAUUAUGAGUGGUAAUACACCACAACAACCUGUAUCUGGUGCUGCAGAGGCUACAAGGAAAGAAGGAUCACUCAUCAGAGCUCCACAAUCAAAAGCUUUUCUGCGGAUCAAGAAUUACACGAAAUUUAGCACAACAUUGAUGGCUGGCUGAAGAUAGUUCAAAUCCAGGCCUCAAGAAUUAUGCUGACAAGCCUAUGAGCAGUUAACUGAAGGCGCUAAAUAAAUCUAAUUAAUGCAAAUAACAGAGAUGGAGCUUCCUCACAUGACAGCAGUGCAGCCAAUCUGAUACUAAAUUCUUGUGUUGUUUUUCUUAGUACAGAUAAUUUUUUUGUGGUGGAAUAGACAAUUUGUGAAUUCUAUAAUUAGCAUUUUACCACAAGCAACUCAUAGUCCAGUGAGAUCUUUCAUUCAACAAUUAGAACACUUACUGCAAGUUUUUCCUAUGGUUAAAACAAUACUUUCGCAGUCUAGUAAAUUCAGUGCGACACAACGUUACAAUGUGAGAUACUUUAACCCAACAAAAAAGAAGCAUUAGUCAUCCUAAGGCCAAAAUAAUCCUAAAGACGGGGGGCAUAUAGAUGUCAUCUCUGAUCAGAAAUCACACAAGAAGACACCUAUGGAAGCUCCAAAUCACCAUGCCUUUUCAAAGUCCCUAAUAGCAUAAUGGUUGAGACAUCUCAAGAGACUUUGCAAAUUGUACCGACAAGACAAUGAAGAUGAUACAAUGCACACAAUUUAAAUUGAAAAAAGAUUAACAGAAGGACAUAUUACCUGGAUGUGAAUGUUUCUUUGACUGAAAGAUACCGUUUCCAAUAUGGUAAAGUAGAUUUAUGAGUUGCUUUUUUUGUACCCCCUUUGUAGGCCCUGACUACAAACUCCUCGCUUCUUUCUCUAGAAGUUGAAUUUUUAUUGUCAGUGUAGACAAGAGCUUUGAAACCAAAAUUAUGUUCAUGCCAAAUGAAUUGGCUAUCAAGUCUAUGCCAAGAGGCGAAACCGUGAUUGAUACAUAGAGAAGGAAGAAGAAACAUACUUUUCCUCGAAGUUUGACAACCAUUUUAGGUAGGCAGCAGCAAAGUAAACAUUUACAAAAGGUCGAUAGAGAACUUCUUCAUUUCCUUGCACUUUAUAUGCAACAUAGCCCUGCUCACUGAAAAGAAAUCGUGCUUUAUGUUUGCAAAUGCAAGCGAACUACAGGAUGCAAUUUCCACCACAUGAAAAAGAAAAGGAGCAAAUAACAGACGCGUCGGAUUGGGAAUUGGCGUGGGAAAUGCAGAUUCUCAGCAAAGUGCGAUAAAAGGUUCGCAAAUAUCUUGGUGUUGAGGGGAAAUGAGAUGAAGAAAAUUGUACUUGGAAUCUAUCUGUACCUAUUCAACCAUUCUGCAGUUUUCGGUAAAAUCUGCAUGAUCCCCAGCGUAGUAUCCUUUGUUUUCUUGUUAUAUCUCGAAGCAAGAAUCUGUCUGUCGCUUUCAAGUUCUGCAAUAGCACAGAUCAUAUCCUGCAAAAUUGCACAGAAGACUCAUCUCAAUAAACUUUUAAAAGAAAAACUAUUGAAGAAUGCUUUUGAUGGAAGAAAAUAACGAGAAGAACUCUAUCUUCCUUUUGAUUUCACUCAAGGCACGUGGUGGCAAAAAACUAAGUAAAACCAAAAGAUCAUGCAGAAGUUGCACAACCACAUCGAAGAAGGCAUACAUACCGGAUCAACCUUCGACGAGAAAUGUCUACGGACAGUAAUCUCAGCCACAGCCUGAAAGAACAUCAACAAGGGCGUGAGGAAAACUGGGAAACAGGGUGAGAGACGAGGCAUUUACGUGCAGUAAGAUCUAAAAUUAAAUACGACAGGUACUUCGACAUUCUAUUGAUUAGGUUUGGCCGGAGAAGUGUCCACCAACCACGCUGAGUCAAAGCUAGAGAGGUCAAAAGAAUCCCGCUUCCUCGAAUAAUUUCGGCAUUUCCCCUCGAAAAUCUCGAACUUCUUCAUUAUUCGUUAAGAUAAUACAAGUUUGCGAAGCUCGAAGUGAGGCUCGCUACUCACAACUCCUCGUUUCCUAAGCACGACGACGUCGCCAUUGACGAGCUACCUAAGAAGAAAGGUAAUCAAAUCGGGGUUUACCCUCAUCUCAUUCUGAGUCAAGUAUUUCUGGCCAUCAGGAUCCCUGGAGAGGCAAACUUUCUGCCCCCUGGUCUCUCCGACGUUGGUCCACUCGGUGCUGACGUCGGGGAUCAGCCACAGCGCCUCCAUGUCGAGAUGAUCGACGCAAUCAUCCCAGUACUUGAAGCUGAUGCCCAUCGCGAGAAUCACAGACACCUGAUCCUCCUCAGGACAUCUAGGAACAAAAACAGAAGAAAGGAAGUCAGGCGAAAGCUAACGUAAACGCCGCCCGACGAUGGGGAGAUGAACAGACUCUCAGCUCCUAGGAGCGUGCGGAAACGACGUGAUUUCGAACGUGAAGAACGGGAGGCAAUGCAGGUACUGAUUCCUAGGCGUUCGAUGAAAUGCGAGGGAGAUUGAGGAGGGCGAAGGAUCGUGCGCACGUACCAGCUAGAGAGCGAGAGAGAGAGAGAGGGAUGGAGCGGGAGAGGCCGAUCGCGAAGAGAAUGGAGGAUGGCGGAGACUGGAGAGAGCAGCGGGGAAGGGGGAAGGGGAAAGGGGAAGGAAGGAGGGGUCGUCCAUUCUUGGCGGGGGGAGGUCUCCCGAUUUCCUCUCUCUCCUCCACGCUUUCCCUCCUUUUCGGUUUGCUUUGCCCGGACGGUCGCGCCCGCAAACUCCUUUGCCUGACGAUCCCAAACUGACGUCCGUCGUUGGAUCGCGUGAGCUGUCUCGGUUGAGAUCGUUCAGUUCAGUCCCCAUCGCGGAUUUUCAAGGGACGACGGAUCCCCCCCGCUUUCCUCUCUGUUGGAUAUUCGAAUCCUUCCCCCCCGCAUGCAUUUCGGCAAAAAGUACGUCGUGAAAAUGCUCGUCCAACACCCGAUGUCAGAUUUGGCGAAGGGGUGACCGGAUAAAUGAAACGACCAAGCGCCUGUUUGUUAUUGCGUUUUUAUGAACAAAAUUUCUGAUUUUUCGUUUCCGGAAAAAAAAGAAGAAUAAAAACGCAUUUAUUUGCAUUUUUGUUUCAAAUUUAUUUUUUUUGUUUUCAGUAACACGUUUGGAACAGAAACAAUAAACAAGUAAAACGUGUUUUUUGUUUUUAGAACAAUUUUUAAGAAUAAAUUUACUCUCUCAUCUCUUUUUCUUCUUUCUUUGACCGGCCUCAACCAUGGCCGGCGACCGACUGUCGAGGACCGGCGACCUCACCGGAGCGUCGCUAACCCCCAACGAGGCCGAGCGUCGUCGGCUCCUGGCGAGGCUUGGUCUCGCCUUGGUUAGGAGAGCUUAGGCUCGCCCAAAUCUGAUGAGCCCGAGCUCGCCUAACCACCGGCAAGGCUCGCCGGCUUGGCAGUGACCCGGCGAGGCCAAGCCUCGUCAAUGGCUGGGCGAGCUCGGGCUCGCCGGAUCUGGGCGAGCCCGAGCUUGCCCAGCCAAGACGAGGCCGAGCCUCGCCCAACCACAGCGAGGCUCGGCCUCACCGGGGGCCGGCAAGUCUUGUCGCGGCUGGGCGAGGCUACCGGCCCUCGUCGGCUGGUCGCCGACUAUGGCUGAGGCGGGCGACCAGCCAAAAGAAGAAAAAAAGAAAAAAUAUUAAAAAAUUAAAAGAAUACAAAUUUACCAAACGUGUUUUUGUUCAUUUUUUAUUCCCGCAACAAGCCAAAAGAAGAAAAAAAGAAAAAAUAUUAAAAAAUUAAAAGAAUACAAAUUUACAAAACGUGUUUUUGUUCAUUUUUUAUUCCCGCAACAAGUUUACCAAACGUGUUUUUUUAUUCAAAAAUUGUUUCCUGGAACAAAAACAUUUUUUUCUAUUUCUGUUCUCUGGAAUAAUUUUUAAAUAGAAAUGUUAUCAAAGACGCCCCAAUCAACCACAUCGUUAAUCCAGAUGAUAAGAAACUAUCGACUCAAAUUAUAUUUCCUUCUCUUAAUAUCUCGAGUACUUGAAUUAUGCAUUGUGAGAGCAAAUGAUUGCAAGUGGACUUGAUAAUGUGAAAUAAUCUUCAUAUAUUUCGAGUGACGCUACGGCCCAAAUAAAGACGUACAUAAUUUGACUACUAAGAUUUUUUUUUCGGGAGAAUUACCAAAAAAGUCCUAAACCUAUUUCAAUUGUGCCAAUUCAGGCCUAAACUUUUUUUUUGGCCAAUUUAAUCCUAAACCUUUUACAAUUGUGCCAAUUUAGUCUAUCUAGCCAAAAUUGGCCGGCCAGCGCUGACGUGGACGCUGGCCGACCGGCGAACCAUUUUUUAAUAAUUCUUUUUAUUUUUUUCGAUUUUUAAUUUUUUUUAAUUUUUUCUUUCUUUUUCUUUUCUUCCUAUCUUCUUCUUCCUCUGGCCGGCGCUGGCCGACCGGCCGGCCAGAGGAAGAAGAAGAUAGGAAGAAAAGAAAAAGAAGAAAAAAAAAUUAAAAAAAAUUAAAAAAUCGAAAAAAAUAAAAAAAUUAUUAAAAAAUCGUUCACCGGCCAGGCGGCGUCCAUGUUAGCACCGGCCGGCCAAUUUUGGCCGGAUGGACUGAAUUGGCACAAUUGUAAAAGGUUUAGGACUAAGUUGGUCAAAAAAAAAGUUUAGGACUAAAUUGGCACAAUCACAAUAGAUUUAGGACUUUUUUGGUAAUUCCCCUUUUUUUUUCUAUAAAAGUUUCGCAACUUGGAUUGCCACGUGUGUUAUGUGAGAGAACGGGUCAUUUUCCAAAAUUACCGUGGAUUCCGUAAAUGGAUAGUGCAUGAUCCAAGUAAAUUCUUUGCUCUAGCGGCUAGAUAAUAUUAAAGGAGUAUAAUUCAGGCAAUUUGCAUAUAUUAAAGCCAAAAAAAAAAAAAAAAAAAAACAAAUAGACGACUAUUUUCAAUGCGUCAGCAAAUAGAAAAAUGGAAGAAGCAGGACUUCUGUUGUCGUUGUGGUACCUAAUCAUGCCUCCCCCUCGUCGUCAUAUCUCGUGACCCUCGCGUCAAUUCUCAUGCCCCCACUGCCCGUGAUCGCAAUCAUAACUUUGAUUACGAAAUCGUAGCCCGGACUCCCCCAGCCACUCGUCCCCAUAUGUGCUUCCCGUUAUGCAGAAGCUGGCCCCCUCGUAUACUGUCCGUUCCCGCCGUUUAAGUUUGCCUUUGUUCUCAUACAAAUUAGUCCGAUUGAAUCCACUCCACAAGAAAAGUGCCAUACAUAGGUCCGAGUUUGAACUUUCUAAUGUGAACAUAGACACCGCUGAAAUUCUUACAGCGGAUGGAAACAUAUUGCAUGUCUUGGUACCUCAAUUAUGUGGUGUCCAAUUAACUCGUAAAUGGCCCUUGAAUUAACAAGUACAUCACAAUCCCCAAGACCCAUCUAAGUAAAUUGAUCAAACAAGGAGAACCUUAUAAUUCUUUCAGGGAUGAAUUUUAGUUAUUGUGAUCUUUAUCAAAGAAUUAAUGUGCGUAAUAUGACCAUCGCACAAAACCAUACAUUUUGAGAAUCACCAAAAUUUUCAAUUCCUUUUUUCUCUCAUUGAAAAAAGUCAGGUUCGUUCUAAUUAAUUUAAUAAUACACGCUGAUCAACAGAUAAGAUACUAACAACAUUUAGGUAAGGUCGUUAAUCACAUUGACCCAAGUCAUUUAAUUUAAUAAGGUAGGCUGAUUCGAGAUACAUGAGUGCACUCCAACUACGACCAAGAUAUCAAUGCAUCCGUGAGUCAAAACCAUCGCGACAUGAAUCUAAUUUACACCGUGCCACGUGUAUUCAAGUUUGAAAUUGUCACUUCUCAUUGGGAGUACUUAUCGAAAUCAAAAUUGCAUCAAUUUGUUUUAGAUUUUUAAGAAAGUACGACAUAAUUUUUAUUUAUCCAUGAAAAUAUAAAAUAUUGUUGAAAUUGUAAAAAUAAAAAUCUAAUGUAUCAUCAUUUUCUCAAAUAAAAGUUUAAAAUUGAAUUUAUUUUAAAUAAGGGUUAAAGUAAUUAUAGCGGCUUCAAAUAAGAGCCUCAACAACCUAACUUGCACAAGUAGCUGAAUAUUUCAACUGGUUAAGGGUCUUUUUGUAGAAUACAAAUUUAAUUUUAAAUAUUAUUAAAAAUAAAUUAAAUAAAAAAACAAAAAAAGAAAAGAAAAUCUACCAUUGCUUUCGCCACGCCACUGUUGUCAAGAAGUGCUAGUUAAGGGUCAGCAAGGGUCGCUAGACACUGGUUAGGGUCCAAUGAUGGUGGAUGGUGAGCCCAUGUUGCUUUCCCUCCCCUCCCCUUCCAUUUUAUUUUUAUUUCUUAUCUAAUAAAGAAAAAAUAAAAAGUGAAAAAUGAAAAUUUUUUAAGGAUGAAAAUGUCCUUGUAAGUUAGUGAAUUAGGCCUUUUUUUUUAGAAAUCAGGGCAUAAUCAUUUCAUGUUCUUAUUUGAGGAAAUGGAGAUUUUAUAUGUUAUUUGAAAAAAUAAGUAAACAUUAAGUCUGUAUUCGAAAUUUUUCUUAAGAAUAAUUACGAAGAAAUUACGCAUCAAAAUUAAUACGGUGCGAGAUUGAAAAAGGGGAGUGUGAAAAUAUGUGGAAGCGCCGGUAACAUUAAUGGGGGAAGGGACAACUACAAGGACAAGUUCUGAUGCCGCGACAGCGAUCGUGGGAAGGGCGUCCGAGGAGGGCGAAAGGGGUUAGGGGGGGUGGGGAAAGCGAUACCAAACGAUGGAGGAAGGAGUAGAGGAGGAGGAAUGGGGGUGGGCGGGGAGCACGUGCGGCGCAGGCGGAGGGGGCAUCAUGUCAUCGGCCGGUCAGAGUCGUUCCGGAUUCGAUUCGAUGGGGGCCGUCCGAGUGCGUUGGCCGUAAGCGAGCUUUUUUCCUACGCCUUUCCGCUUUGGUCCUCCUGGAAUUUCCCGACCCCACUUUGGCCUCCCCCGCCCCUCCCCCCUCGCAUUUCCCCUUCUUGCCCAUUCUCCUUUUUUAUUUUUUUUCCUUUUUAAAUAUAAUUCUCCCACAUAAAAGAAAGAAACGCCAGUUGGCCUCUGGAGAAUUAUUUUUAUUUAUCACAAUUAUUCAACUAUCACACCCCCCUUUUUUUAAGGUCAAAAGUCAGACACAGUAGAGGAUGCAACUAGAGAAAAUAGAAUGAGAGAGGGGGGCGCACGCGUGGCUUGAAUGAGAGACAUGAGAAGAGAUAAUGAUACGAACAAUUUCUCAACUUUGACACAAUAUGCAAUUUGAUCAUUGAAUUUUUUAUUCUCUCAAUAUGGUCAAUGAACUUUAGACUAUUGUUUAAAUAUAGUCCAUAAACUACAUGAAAAUAUUUAAUAUGAUCAUUCAAUUAAUUCAAGACCAAUGAUUACAUUAAACAUCUUCAUAUAGUUCAGGAACUAUAUUGAAUAUAUACAAAAAAAUUUAUGAAUUAUGUUGAACAACUUAUAUUAUAGAUUAGACUAAAAUUCAAGAAUCAUAUUGAGCAAGUUAAAAUUUUAGGGAUUGAAUUGCACGUUGAAUUAGAAAUUCAUAUUUAUGCUAUUUUUUCACAAGAGAAUGAUAAAAAGGAGGGGGGGUAUCAUCAGCCGUGCGGCGCACUAUUAGCAUGAAUGAGAGACGAGAAUGAUCAAAAGAGGAGGGGUGGGACCUGUAUUCAUCGAUUUUUUUCUUUUCUUUUUUGGGGGGGGGGGUUAGACCGGUAUUCAUCAAUUGAAAAAGCUGAAGAAGAAAGGGAGAAAGAGCCCAAAAGAUCUGACCGAGAGGGAGGGGCCCUGAGCUGGUCCGACGUGGCUUUCGAGGGCCGAAUCCCACCGCCGCCACCAACCCCCCCGUCUCCUCCUCCCCGCCAACCUCGCAUCACGACACUCUCACCUACGUCGUCGUGACCCACGCACGCACGCCCGCACACCUCCUCGCUCCCAAAAUACAUCACAUGCGCCCACCCCCCCCCUCCGGCAUUAUUGCCAUCCCCGAUUCCUUUCCUGUUUUUUCUCUUUUUAUUUUAUUUUAUUUUAUUUUGGAGUCGUAGAGUGUUGUUGUUGUUGGGACGGAGAGAGACGAGUCUGUACAGCAUAGAUUAGUGCAUAGGGAAGUCCGCAGGCCAGGCCACUUCUGUUAUUUUAAAUAGGGAGUAGGCUUUUCUCCGCCUGCCUGCCUGCCUGGUGCCUACCCCCCCAUAAAGUCAUUUCUCCUUCCAUUCUCGAGUUGAGCUCCAGGCCUCCCCCGCCGCCCCCCUCCACCGUGUUUCAUUUCCCUCGUUCUUGUUCUUUGCUCUUGGUCAAUCUAGGGUUUUCGCAGUCAAGCCUCGGAGGGAAGAGUUCCGCAAAUGGCUCUGUCUUCUCUCCUCCGCCCGUCCCCCGCCGCUGCUCCCGCCGUCUCCCACCUCUCUCCCCUCUCUUCAGAUCCCUCCAAGGUCUCUCUCUCUCUCUCUCUCUCUCUCUCUCUCUCUCUCUCUCCUGCACAAGCACGCGAGACGGAUCAUCGUCAUUGUCAUGCGCUUUGAUUCGAGCUCUGUUUUGUUGAUGCUUUCUAGUUCGUCUUCGUUUGAUUCUCGAGAAACCGGUCUUCCCAGGUCUUGUCACCUUUGAUGAUAUCGGUCUUCUUCUUCUUGUUUUUUUUUUUUUUUUUUUGGUUGAGCGAGUUUUUCAUUGGGCUCCCCGUGGUAUGCUCGAGCUUAGUUUUUGUUCGUCGAGCUGAAUCUUUAGCUUCCUCCCUACUCGUGUUCCCCGUUGGCAGCAGCAGCAGCAACGCCGCAGCUGCUCUCCGAACACGCCGCGCCGCGAAUUGUGAAUUUUGCGAUUCCUGUUCCCUCGUUUCCGCUUCUUCUUCUUCUUCUUUUUGUUUCCUUUAAUUAUUAAUUUUUUUUUUCUUUCACUUUUUGAUGAUCCUGUCUUUUCCGCUGCAUUUGCUAUUGGAUUUAUGGCGGACACCGUCUUCGCGACCCACUCCCGGCUUCCCCUUCUUCUUUUCCUAAAUCUUGGGAGGUGGCUCGUCCCAUUCAGCUCACCAACUUCAACCUCUUUUUUUUUUUUUUUUUGGUUUUUUGCAGGUCUCGUCCAGCAGCGUCAACCUUUCACGCCUUCCCUCCAGCUUCAACGGCACUCCUGUCCCCACCGGAUCCAUUUCCUUCCGGUUUAGUCUAUAAUCUUUCUCUUGCUCCUGUUAAAUUUGCCGCUCCCGGUUUUUGUGGCCUCUAGUAACUGUCGCUGACACAAUCUUUCGCCCCCAAAAAAACAAAAAUUGAUAGGAAAUCCUCUGUCAGGAGCAUUCAGCCUGUUAGAGCUACGGCUGUUGAUGUGCGGCCUAUUGUUCCAAGUAAGAAUCCUUGUAGCAUAUCUCGACUGGUUUUUAAAAAUGGUUUGAUUGGACCGGAGCCUGAGGGGUGAUGUUGUCGUGCAGGAUCAGAUGGCAGCAACAAGACAAAGAUUGGAAUCAAUGGUAUGUUCCGGGGCUGAUAGGAGUUAUGCUAAGUGGUUAUUCUGCUUUGCCUGUAAUCUCAUUCCAUGCGAAAUUGUGUGCUGGUAUAUAUAGAGGGCAUUCUGGAAUUGUGUUUUAACAGAUACCAUAGGGAUUGCAAGAUAGGGGCUGUUUGCAGCUGUUCUGCAUAUAUCAGCUAAAAUAGAAGAAUGUCUAGAACAGUAUGUAGUUGUUGCACGAGGUGUACAGUUUAAAUGAAAGGGGUCUGGUGGAAGUGUUUUUUGAGCGUGGUGGCAUUACAUUCGUGCAGGAUUUGGUCGAAUCGGACGAUUGGUGCUUCGGAUAGCAACCGCUAGGGAUGAUAUUGACGUAGUAUCUGUCAAUGAUCCUUUUAUCGAUGCUAAAUACAUGGUACGUGCAGUUACCUUCUUUUUAAUGCAAAUUACUUAGUCCUUCAAGGAAAUGUCAUGUGGCUUCCCUCCUUUAUGUGAUUGAGUGGUUCUGUUGGUUAUAGCAUUACUGUUGCGUCACUUAUGUGGUAUAUGGAUGUUUUAAUCUCUUUUAUGUCUGUUAUUUGGUAGUGGACUUGGAAUAUCCAUUGCAGUAUUCUAAAAAUUUCUGAUCUGCUGCUAGCUUGUUUCUGCUUUAGCUUAGAAUUGGAAAAUGAUUGACUUGACCAUUUGUUUAAACAAGCCAGAUUAUUGUUUUUCUUCAAUGAAUGUUUCAUAACUUAAAUUAAGCUACUGCUGACUCAUCCACCAUGCUUUGGUGAAUGUUUAAAUCAGCCUUCGACUUAAGUCGCAUGAGAUUUAUCUUUUCCUGUGUCCGCUUUGCUACCAUAUUAAUGUCUACUGCUCAGGGUUACCUCAUUUUGCUUUGCUUUGCUUUUGAAAAAUCAUCCUAAGAUAAAACUUAUAGCUGACUCUUGUGGUAUUUGUGUAUAAUUAGCGAGCCGAAAGAAUUUGUAAGAUGUGACAGCUUUGGAAUUUGUGAUCGUUGGAGGGAUAUCACAAUGCUUUAUAGCAGGUCUGCUCCUUGAGGAGAUACAGGAGAUACUGACAUUUCUUUUAUCGAUCUGUCCAGGCUUACAUGUUCAAGUAUGACUCCACUCAUGGAGUUUUCAAUGGAACGAUCAAUGUUAUAGACGAUUCCACCUUGGAGAUUAAUGGAAAGCAAAUUAAAGUUGAAAGCAAAAGGUGUUUUCUUACUCAUCCGAAAGAAUAUGCUUGUAGAAAGUUCUCUUUUGCAAACAUCAACCUCUAAACUUAAAGCAGGAAGGGGUAAAGUUUGACAUUUCUUUCUUCUCAGAAAUCCAGAAGAGAUUCCUUGGGGUUAUCAUGGGGCUGAGUAUGUUGUUGAAUCCUCUGGAGUUUUCACUACAUUGGACAAGGCUUCCGCACACCUGAAGGUCACUAUAAUCAUUUAAUUUGCUCUGUGCACGCAUGUGUACAUCUAUGUGAUAGGGUGAUGGGUAUAAACACCACGAGUUGAGCCCGCUGAUUAUUACUGCAGGCUGGUGCCAAGAAAGUGGUCAUAUCAGCUCCUUCAGCCGAUGCACCUAUGUUUGUGGUUGGAGUAAAUGAAAAGUCAUACAAGUCAAACAUGGAUGUAGUUUCUAACGCAAGCUGCACGACCAAUUGUCUUGCUCCUGUUGCCAAGGUUGGUUUUCACGCUUCCAUAAGUUAUUCCUGCCUUUCACGUCAACCUGGUGAAACUUGAAUAGUGGGCAGCUGUCUUUGGAAACUUCCUCUCUCUGUCUCUUUCUAACCCUUUGCAGUAUUGUAUCUUCUCUGUAGUGGAUGCGGCUCACAUCUUGGCUCUUGCCGAGUCAGUCACUGAUAAUUGGUUCAUACUAACAUAAUUGUUGUAAUUAACCUUUUUGGCAGGUUGUUCAUGAGGAAUUUGGUAUAAUUGAAGGUUUGAUGACGACUGUACAUGCAACUACAGGUACUCCCAUUCUUUCCCUUCUGCCUAUCUGAUGUUAAGAGGUCUUGCUAAUAAUGAUGAUUUAUCUUUUUCAGCAACCCAAAAGACAGUGGAUGGUCCUUCGAUGAAGGAUUGGCGUGGGGGCCGUGGAGCUGCUCAAAAUAUCAUUCCCAGUUCCACUGGUGCUGCAAAGGUAUAAUGAUAACUGGAAUUUCUUGACGAAGACAUGGACAGAUUCUAGAUUUUAUAAGAUUUGGAUCAUUGUGGGGUCAAUAGUGAUGAUAUUGUUUUUUCCCUUUGGAUAGGCUGUCGGAAAGGUUCUUCCUGAACUCAACGGAAAACUCACUGGGAUGGCUUUCCGUGUCCCAACUCCUAAUGUCUCUGUUGUUGACUUAACUUGUCGGCUUGAGAAGAGUGCUUCUUAUGAAGAUGUGAAGGCAGCUAUAAAGUAUGUUGAAUUCCCCCCCUCCCUCUCCUCCUCCCUUUCUUUUUUCUACUAGUUGAUGAAAAUUGAUGGAAGUCCCUUUGAGUAGUACUAUAAACACGUCUUGGAUUGUUAAAAUAAAGGUAUGCAUCGGAGGGUCCGCUCAAGGGCAUCCUUGGAUAUACAGAGGAGGAUGUUGUCUCGAAUGAUUUUGUCGGUGACUCCAGGUAUGUCCAUUGUGCUUUCCUUCCUCUCCUGCCCGCUCCCUCCAUCCCUUUCUGUCAGUGGGUGGUAAGGCCUUGCGUUGCAUGCACAUGUUCUUGAGGGGGAUUGGAUGUUUUGAUUUCUUUUUUACUGUUUUACAUUAAGCAAUGAUGCUCCAUACAAUCAAUUUAGUGGCUAGCUCUAUUUUUGUUGCUUGCCUUGUUGGUCCCUAGAAAUUGCCAAUUUAAUAAAGAUCUAGUCUCACAGUGGCAUGGAACUUUUAAACUUGAGUGAAGGUCAUUUUGGAUGUUAGUUUUUUUAUAAAGAAAAGAUGGUGGUUUACAACUACUAAAAGUGAAUUUUGUGUGUUGAGACAGGUUAACAGCAUCUAUUUUUCAAAAGAUAGUGGCAAAAGUGAUUGAUUUUGUCCAUGUUUUGUGAGUUUUAUAGCUGAGUGAUGCUUUUACUGCAGAUCAAGUAUAUUUGACGCGAAAGCAGGUAUAGGUCUAAGCAAAUCUUUCAUGAAGCUGGUUUCGUGGUACGACAAUGAAUGGGGAUACAGGUAUACAUCUCUUGAUCUUUUGUUCUGAAUAUUAAGAAGUGGCAAGGCAAUAUGAGUGGAAUUAAUGUUUUAUAAUGUCCAACUAGCAUAUCUAAACUUUUAUGGCAAUUUGACUUUCUUACAGCAACCGAGUCCUAGAUUUGAUAGAGCACAUGGCCCUAGUCGCAGCCCACAAGUGAAUGAUGAAUGGUGCUACAUAGUUACCUGAAUUUGCGGCAUGCUUACUCCAUUUACAAGAGUUAUGAUGCUUGAUAGAGAUUUCUGGUUAUUCAAUACAGCCUGUAUUAUCUUGUGGACGAUUUUACUCGAAUGGUAUCUGUUCUAUAGUCUGGUACCGCUGUCUGGAACCAGGCAGUUCAUGGUGCCUUCAACAUAAUAAGGAAUCAGAAUUUUCCCCCUUUUGCUGGUUUUUUAUUUUUAUUUUUAAUGCUUGCGCUGGCUCUACAUGAUUGUGGUCUUUGAUAUUUUUUCUAUUGAAACAUGGAGAUCAUCCGAUAUGGUCAAUGUGGUCCUGUGCCUGGAUAUAAAUUCAGUGAAAGAAAAACUCCCUUCUUACCAAAGGAAAAAAAAAAAAAACUCGUUUCUGUUUUUGAUAAGCGAAGUAAGUGCCUUGGCCUGAAUGUACAGUGAACGCGAGGCGUUUCGGGAUAUUGCGGUGCUAAUGAGACGUAGCUAUCCGUAAGAGAAUUAUUUCUUUCAGGCUUUAGGGGCUAGCGUGGAGCUAAAGGGUCCGUUUGGUUCGAAUUUGGGCAAAUCUCAUUAAGAAAAUGCAAAUACCUUUGAAUUAAAGGGUUUGUGCAAAUAGCGUUUUGUAAAUUAUAAUUUUAAAGUGCAUUGUGAAAAAAGGAUUUAGUUUAAAUACCGUUUAGUAAAAAUUACAUUUUUUAAAGGAUUUUUGUUAAAUUUUAUAUAUAAAAAAGUUUUAUAUUUUUUUUUAAAAUGUAGCCAUCGAUGGUUAGAUCUAGCCGUCGGACAGCCUUACUUGAGGUCUAGCAACCUCAGGCGGGGGUUGCCUAUUGCCGCCGGACCUCAAGCUUCUGUCACCUAGGUCGCACGAACCUAGGCAACCACUGCUUGAGGUUGCGUGACCCGAUAACGCUUGAGGUCGCGCAAUCGUUGCCUGGGUCUCUAUCGCCUGGGUCGUAUGACGCUUGAGGUUUGGUGACCAGGCGACGCCUAAGGUCGCGUGACCAUCGCUUGGGUCACGCGAUCUUUAGGUAGCGGUGGCCACAACCCUCAGGCGGCGGUCGCCAGGGUCACCUUAGGCGACAGUUGUCGGCGCGGGCCACUCCUUGGCCAGCGGUCGUCAGCCUCUGUUAGUCUCUCCAAAGAAGAUGAAUAGUACUAGGAAGAUGAACAAUACCGGACUUGCAUUCCGAGGAUGUAGCUUUCCAAAGGACCUCAAGAGCUGUACUGGGUUAAAGGCCCUUAGAGCAAUUUAGAGAUGCAAUUGCAUUUUGCCAAAGUUGUCUAAAAAAUCGAACUAAACGCGUUUGCAUUUGGCCAUGAGACUUUGAGUCCUAAACCCAUUCUUAAAGCUGAACCAAAUAGGGCCAAAGUCUGUGAUGUAUUGAAAUAUUGAACAGUAACACGGACUUCCAUUGGAUUACACGAGUGAGCAUAGCGACAUGAAGUUCCUAGUUUGACAAGCUACUACUGGUGCUCGGGAAAUUGUCAGAAACGACUGCUGGUCUACCCUUCCCAAUGUCCCAAGAUUUGGCUUUAUUUCUUGGUUAGUAAAACAUGAUGAAAUCCCUAAUUUUGAGAGGGUUGAGAGUUGGUCUGCUGGGAGUACUAGUUCUCUCUGCUUGUUCUGUAAUCUAUGCAUGGAUUAUGAGCGACAUCAGCAGUGGUAUUGAGAUCAUCAGCAUCAUGCAUCUUCAUCUUUGAAUUGUCUACGUACAAACCGUGAGACGUGAUAGCAUUCCAAGCCAAAUUAUAACUGCGUUGAGUCUGUGCUUGUUUAAGAAGGCCCACUGGGGUUUGAUACGCAUGAAAGAAGCUCCGAUUGGACGAGACAGACAGAGGGCUGCUCUUGUUUCUUAUCACUUGGUUUUUACCCCCUGUAGAAUCUAUCGAUCUCUUUGGUGGACCGUAAGGACCCAAGAAAAGGGAUGAUGGUGAUGAUAAGGGGAAAAGUGCCAAAAAAGUCCUAAACUUUUUAACUUUGUACUGAUUUAGUCCUAAACCUUUUUUUGGUGCCGAUUUAGUCCCAAACAUUUUUACGUUGUGCCAAUUAAGUCCUUUCCGGCCAUUUUGAUCGGAUUUUGUUGACUGGACGCCGGCCGGCUGACGUGUAUAAUUUUUAAUAGUAUUUUAAUUUUUUUGAUUUUUUUUCUUUUGAUUUUGAUUUUUUUUUCUUUUUUUUUUAUUCUUUUUAUUUUUUCUGCUCAUCUUCUUCCUCCAGCCGGUCGCCGGAGCUCGGCGACCGGCCAGAGUCGACCUCGCCGGCCACCUUGCGAGGUCUCGACCUCGCCGGCCACCUCGCCGGAUCUGGCGAGGCUCGAUCCUCCCCCAGAUCCGGCGCGAGGAGGAGCUGGCGGGGCUCACCCUCGCCAGAUCCGGCGAGGGCGAGCCUCGCCGCCCAGGCCUCGAGGGCGGCCUCGUGCCGGGUGGGCGAGGCUCGCCCUCGUCGGAUCUGGCGAGGGUCGAGCCUCGCCCAAGGCCGGCGAGGUUCGACCUCGCCAGAUCCAGCGCGAGGAGGAGCUGGCGGGGUCGCCCUCGCCGGCCGUGGGCGAGCCUUGACCCUCGCCGCCCAGGUCUCGAGGGCGGCCUCGCACCGGGCGGGCGAGGCUCGCCCUCGCCGGAUCUAGCGAGGGUCGAGCCUCGCCCACUGCCGGCGAAGCUCGACCUCGCCAGAUCCGGCGCGAGGAGGAGCUGGCAGGGCUUGCCCUCGCCGCCCAGGCCUCGAGGGCGGCCACUGGCGAGGUGGCCGGCGAGGUCGACCUUGACCUCGCCGGCCGUCGCCUCUGGCUGGUCGCCGAGCUCCGGCGACCGGCUGGAGGAAGAAGAUGAGCAGAAAAAAAAGAAAAGAAUAAAAAUUAAAAGAGCAAAAUAUUAAAAAAAUAAAAAAAUAUUUAAAAAUAUUUAAAAUAUUAUUAAAAAUUAUAUACGUCAGCGCCGAUCAGGCCAUGUUAGCCGGCUGGCGUCCAGUCAGCAAAAUCCGGCCAAAAUUGGCCGGAAAGAACUGAAUUGGCACAACGUAAAAAGGUUUAAGACUAAAUCGACACCAAAAAAAGGUUUAGAACUAAAUCGGCACAAAGCCAAAAGGUUUAGGACUUUUUUGGCACUUCUCCCUGAUGAUAAGUUAUCGUUUCCAAGAGUUGAUAUGAUUCAGUUCGGACAGGGUCAAAUCCUACGUCAUGUUCCCCAAAGUUGUUUGUCAAUUUUCAUGCUAUGAUACAGACGUCAGGCGUAUGCGAUUUAUGCCGUCGAUUUCCAGGGCAAGUGGGUCAGUUGCGGCCCGAAAUGGGCAUUUGCGAACGUAAUAAUGCUUUAGUUUAUAUUGCAGCAGUUGGCAAGUAACUGUCAAGUCGGCAAACGUAGACGAUGAAGUAAGUCUCUACUCACUAGUCAAACUACCUAAAAAGCACUCCCAACGCAAUCGGCGCACGCCGAUGAGGUUGCGGUUGCUAUGUGGGGGGUAAAGUUUCCUCCGAUACUUUUGUAUUGCUAGCCGUGUUGCAAUUGGCAAUGUCGUUUGGGAAGUGAGCGCAGUUGCGAUGGAGACGUGAAGUGAAGAAGCUUCCACCUCUCCUUCCUCUCCCCCAUUUGUUUAAUGUGCAGGCUGACGAGAGAGUAUAAUCCAAACAAUAUGGGAUUAAUGCAGUAGAAUUGAAUAAUCUUCCCUCUUGUGUAAAUCUAAUAGGAAUCAAUAUAAUAGAGUAAAAUAAAUAUCAAGCAAGCAAACACAAGGUGACUUUUUUACGUGAAAAACCCACUCGGUGUGAGAAGAUAAAAAACCAUGGGAUUGAAGUUCACCCAAAAAACUUCACUAUCAAUAGAAUUGGAUGAAUAAAGUUUUUCUCUAGUAACUACUAGAGAUACAUAGCAGCAAAGAUCUCAAAAACAUGAUUCUUGGCAAUACGCAUAAAUUUCACUAGAGAUCAAGCAUGAAUCUGAUAAAAAAUGCAAGUUUUGAUCAACCUACGAAAAACUUGCUGUGGGGAAUUCCAAACGAAAAUCAAACCAUCCAGAUUCGAGAAUAGUGGGCCAUGAACAUGUUGACAAAAUUCCAGCUCAAUCGAACUAUGAAUCGACCUCCGAUGCUACUCUACAAUAAUAGGGCAAUGGCACGAGUGUCCUUCUAACCAAAAGACCCAACCCCAACCACAACCAUUAUCGUGCCGUUAUCAAAAUAUAAACAUUCAUGUAUUUGAUAAAAGAGUCAUCCGGAACAACUAACUCAAAAGUUCAUCUUAGCCAUAUACAACUUACACAAAAAUAUCACAUUAUCAAAAUAUCCAGCCAACAUUCACUCUUGUCCUACUUGUGGCAAGUAAGACAAAUGGAAUGAGGAAUCACAACCCAAGUCUAGUGAGUAGUACAUCAUUUCUUAGCAGGUAGGAUAUUCACUAUGUCUCUUUAUAAACCGAUGUCAUAAUUCAUCAAUCCCAUAUUUAAUAUACAAUACAUGUAGUAUAUCGCAAGUGGAUGAUAUCCUUCCAACAAAACUUUUCCAUUGAUCAAUAUUUAUCAAAUCAAACGCCAAUGGUCAUUCCAUUGACUAAUGUAAUGCUUGGUAUCUAACUAUGGUGACCAUAACAAAGGCAACCAAGUUUCCUCCUUGACUAAGUCUCCACCUACAUUAGCUGGUGGGUUAGCCCAAAAAAAUGUUUUGAUAAUAUUAAGCAUAUUUACUCCUCAAUUUGGUCAUAGUGACAUAAGCAUAAUCCACUAAUAUCAUUCUCCAAUAUCCACAAAUCCGAAUCCACAAUCCAAUCUCAUAAAUCAAGUUCACAACCCAAAUCACAUAACCUUUCAUAGUUUAGUUCAUCAACUAUAAUAAAUUUCCUAAAAAAUUUCUCAAGUUUGUAUGAAAAAUCUUUCACAAAUUCUUUCAUGAACAUUCUUAAACCAUUUCAAAUAACAAUGAGUUAGCAAAUGCCCAAUCCCAAGCUAUAAAUAUUACAUUUAUAUUUUAAAAUCACACCUUGCACAUAACAUAUCUAAUUCUUAUCUCUUUCAAAAUAUGAGUUUACAAACACAAAAAAGAGAUAGCACUCUUAUUCCAAUCAAUUAGUCAAAAACGAUAUCAAUAUUUAACUAAAACUCUACUUUAACCAAUGACUUGAUUAGACUAUGCUUAUUCAUUGAUAAAAUAUCUUCUAUGUGCUUACGAGGAAACUUGUUUAUAGUGAACAUUCGUCUUUGCCCGUUACUCAUAUUCUCCUGUGACACGAAACUUUAGAAAUUAGUUCUGGUCAAGUUCUAAUUUGGACUCAAGCUCCAUGGUGCCAUAAACUAUCAUUUUUAUAUAGAAUCCUAGCUUAACAACUCAUCGAUCGAAGUUCAGAAUUCACUUAACAUCGUUAUUUAUUCCAAAUAGAUGAAUAAUGAGCUUGAAUAACAAUUGGGACGUCCGAACGGAGACGCGAAAUCCUUCUCCCUUUCUCGGAUUGUUCUCCAUUUCUUGUUCACGGGCGAGCUCCCUUCUAUUUUCCUCGUUUCGUUCGCGGGCUUCGAUGACUUGAAGUCUUGAACGCGUCGUAUGUGAAGGCAAACGAAGGUGGGCAGAGUCGGGCCAUCUCCAUUACAUCUGCAGCAGGAGGCCUCGUCGUAGAUGUGGAGCCACGUUCUUGUCUCCUCUUCGUGUUGGCUGGGUCCACCUUCAUGUGGGGCCCAGCUAACAUAAAACAAAAUGACAAAAAAAGGAGCAAAGUCAAAAAGUUGAAAAGAAAGAAAGAAAGAAAAAGGUUCGUGCGUGGUGUGCGCCGAAAGUGUGACGAGACAGAGAGAGGACAGAAGCCUCACCGAAACAGGAAACGGGAUAGGGGAGAGGAAAAAAAGAGGGCUGCGACUUUGUGAUGCUCACCGAAACAGGAAAGGGGAGAGGAAAAACAGAGGGCCGCAACUUUGUGAUCUUAAUUCAAAGGCUAAAUAUUAACGGAAUCAGCUCAAGUCUGAGUAUAUUAUUCGUGAGUUGAUGUUUUUAUUCAUCGAGAAUCAUCUCCGAAUUCUCCUAUUGCGAAAACCAUUUAUGUUUAUCUACUUUUGUGGUGAUGAAAUGAAUUUAUAAUAUCUAUGUAAAGCUUUUAGUGCAUGACUAGAGAUAACAAUUCUGUGCAUCAUACUAUUUUUAAUGAUUAAUGAAAGUUUUCGAGUGAUCUGUGAUUUUUCUCGUAUUGGAUUUUUACGUUAAAAUCUUGAUGGUUAUAUAUAUAUGGCUGGUUGUUGAUGGGGGCUCAAUUAAUUUUGGUUGAUUUAGUUUCGGAGGAGAAAUCGAUCAUGGAUUGGGUUUAGUUUGUAGUGAAUUAUUAUCCCCGGUUCUCCCUGACAUUUCAUAUUGGCUGGUUCAAGCUCAACAUCAUCCUCGAGAGAAGAAAAGUCAAAUUAUCCCCGGUUCACCAAACAAUAUCGCGGAAUAUAUACGUACAUAUAACAUGUAUAUUAACGUCUGCGCUGGGAGGAAGCUUCCGCCUCUCAUCCCUCUCCUCUUGCCCCCCGCUCCUUUGUUUAAUGCGGUGCACGAGAGAACAAAUUCAAAAGCCUCGCUAUCUGCUCUUUUCUUCGCAGGGGAUUCCCGCUCCUCCCUCCUUUUUCGACCGUUUUCUUUGUUUCUCUCUCCGCUGCUCUCCGUUGUGGGUUCAUAAUCUUUGGACAUAAUUGACCUGGCUUUUGCUUGUAAUUAUCAGAUGAAAGAAGAGAGAACAUAUUCUCUUAAAUUUAGUAAGGUGGAUAAGCUUGAAAAGAGAGCCAUGUCGGUCCUUGCAACCCACUAAUUGGAGGCAUGAUUGGACGGAAAAUGCUCUAUGGAGUGAAGUGGCUGAUCACGAUCUUUCAAUACAUGCAACAGAAACCGCGUGCGCUGUUGUUUGUAGAAUUACAGCUGCGAUUUCAAGUUGAAAAGAAGAAUCUGUUUCGUCACUGCUAGCGCCCAACAGUCCUUGCUCAGGCAACGCGUAGACAAAGCUUCCGAGCUCUUAUUGAACGUUCAUUCUAAAUCAUCUCUCUUUUUACAAAGAAUAACACGAUUUUCCCACGUAGACAAAGGAACCGAACAAAGUUGUGGAGAGGGUGUGCUGCUUUCUGGAGAGUGGAUCAGGAUUCCCAACCUUUUUGGGCGACACAAAUGGAGCAGUUCAUCCGUCCAGUAUCCCACAAUCAUCCGCCAUGGACGCCUUCGACCACGACUGCAGUGACUCCUCCGCUCCCUCAUGGCGUCUCAGCCCCACCAAGUUCCGCCUCCCUCCUCGCGACCACCACCACCACCACCCCAGCUCUCGCUUCUCCUGCCGCCACCUUCUCCCUGCUUCGAGUAUGUAUCUCCAUCUACGCCGGUUUUCCGUGCAAGUGAAACUGCCUCCAUCGUAGCAUCAAUCCUAGCUUUUUCUCCACUUCUUUUUCGUUGCUUAUUCGCCAUUGCAUGACUGAUGCCUAAUCCGAGCAUCUCCUGUUACACUUCAUCUGUACGUCACUACACUUGGUACGUUCGGUAACGACGCCCCCUUGGAAUCCUAUGCGAUGCUUGACGGAAAUUAGCGUGCUGUGUCCUGUCUACAUCAUUCUCUGGCAACUUCUCUUGCGAGAGCGCCACCAUGUCUGGGAUCGACCUGCUUUUACUUGGUCCGCGCUUUUGUAUGUAUGUAUGUAUGUAUGUAUGUAUGUAUGUAUGGAUGGAUGGAUGGACUGUGGUGGUGGGAACCGACGGUAACGCAUACAUUCAUUGCUUCACGUAUAUGGAGUGUUGUAUUGCUUCUAUUCGCUCAUUUUCGGUGGGUCGAAUUUGGUUCAUUUCGUAGCCACGCUGAGCAUGACCUCACCUUGGAGGGUUUUUUUUCCCCUGGUCAUUUUCUUCCAGCCGGAGGUGUCGAUCAACACAAACACAGAUGGAAAGUUACUUAAGUCUUAACUUGUUGCUUCUUUAGACCUUCUACACCCAUCGCAGUGCAUCCUUUCAACUUAGCUUUCUGUAAAGACCCACAAAAGUGAGCGGUAUGGGGGAAGUCAUUCUGUAAGCAUCAUAUAAUGAAAUGGAAAUUGAGUAGGUUUAGGAUGUGUUUGUUACCUAGGCAAAUAGUAACUGAUUAUAUUCUUUUGUUCUCCGGAACAAAAAAAGAACAAAAAUCCGUAUGAUAACUUUUUUGUUCUCAAGAAUAAAUUUGGAAUAUAAUCAAGAAGUAGAAAACAAUUGCUUCUUCAUUUUCAAGAGUAAUUCCAAAAUCAAGCCAAAUUUUCCUUUUUCUUUUCUCUUUUCUUUUAUUCUUUUAUUCUUUUCUCUUCUUCUUCCUCAUUGCCCGUCAUUGGCCACGACGAUGGUCGACGGUCGACGGUCGACUGCAUGAGGUCUAGUGAGCUCGUCGAAGCCUCCCCAGGCCAAGGUGAGGUUGAGUCUCAUUGAUGAUUGGGCAAGCUUGCCUAGCCCCUAGCAAAGCUUGACCUUUCCUAGUCAGCAUGAGGUUGGCCUCACCUUGGCAUAGCAAGGGUUGGCCUCGCCACUAGCUGUGGUGAGACUCAGCCUAGCUAGGCCAGGGUGAGGCUGGCUUGGUGUUGGCUGGGUGAGGUCGAGCCUCCUUGAUUCUCGCCUAGCCGAUUGCCGGCCGUUGUUGUGGUCGGCGAUUGACCAUAGUAGAAGAGGGAUGGAAAAAGAAAAAGAAAAAAAAAAGAGAAAAAUAUAAUAAAAUUAUUUAAAAAUUAAUAGAAACUAAUUCACAAAAGAACUUAAGAAUUUACCAAACGCAUUUCUUUUCUGGAGGUUAGAAUUUUUGAAUAGUUACCAAACACUUUUAAAUGUUUAGAAACUUAUCCAGUAAAAUGAUUACUAAACACACUCUGACUGACAUGUAAUGGUUACACUCACUCCGGUCAAAUUCAGCUCAUAGUGUUGGGGAGUCAAGUUACAUCAUAGAAUGUUAUUGUACUUUCCACCUGACGGGCUACUAUUUGAUUUACGUGUGAACCUUCUUUAUUGGGGUCCUCAGUGCUCAGAUUGUAUUAUAUAAAUUCCAUUCAGGGAAAGAGCGCAAGCUAGCAGAAUAUUACAAGAAACAGGAAAGCCUUUUUGAAGGGUACAAUGAGAUAGAGGCCAUGACUGAGUCAGGGCGUUUUCCCGGAAGCCUGACUGAGGUAGAUUCUCUACAGCUCACACCUUCCUACAUUUCAUUAGUAGCAGACCUGAGGAUUGUGCAUUCUUAAUCCUAAAAAAAGGAGAUUCUUUAGUAUAUCGAGAUGUUUCUCCACGUAGUAGCUCUCGAAGCAAGAGAAACAAUCGUGGAGAUCUGUUUACAACUUUUAUGCAAAUUGGAAACUAAACAGGAGUUUAUGACAUUAUAUUUCAAGUUUUCUAGGAAGAAAUCGCUUCUGAUUAGUGAAUUGCAUUUUGUAGGAUGAAAUGAAGCAGCUCGCUAAGAGUGAAAGAUUUGCAAUCCGUAUUUCAAACUUGGCAAAUAUUGUGCUUUUCAUAGCAAAGGUCUACGCUUGUGUUGAGAGCCGAUCACUGGCAGUCAUCGCCUCAACAAUGGAUUCAUUCUUAGAUCUACUAUCAGGUCUUAUUUUGUGGUUCACGGCCAAAUCCAUGAGGAACCCAAAUUAUUACCAUUACCCCAUUGGUAAGAAGCGGAUGCAACCAGUGGUACGUUCCCCUGCCUCCUUAGUAAAAAAAAUCUGUCGAUGAUCCAUGGGUAACCAUUCUACUUGAAUCCGACGUUUCUUUGCUCCCACUAAAUUUCACUAUCUUCAGCUAGUCUCAUGACUAUAACUUGAUUUUGCUCUCCUGCCUUCCUUUCUGUUUGUCAUGUAGCUUGAUUUACGAUGGCAUGCUCGUUAUUCGAUAGCUUCAGCUAGCUAAAUUUUAUGUGAGACUUCAAAAAUACUGUGAUGAUGCAUGGCUUAGUUGAAUUACAUCACCAAAUUAUAGUCAAUAUCCCUUUGCCUCAAUAGUUAACUCACCGAAGAAGGCAGUGUCAGAUAUAGUUUUGUAUAAAGGAGAAACCAGUGAGGAGGAAAAAUAAGACCCUGUCCUUUUUAGAAACUCGGAGCUAAUGACCCCAAUAUUACCAAAACGAAAUUCUAAAAUUUCUCCAUCAGAAUAAUAUGUGUUGAUGUAAUCGAUCUUUGUGAUUAAGCUACGAGUGUAAUGGUAUUGACGGCUUGAGAAUGCAGGGUAUUAUUAUCUUUGCCUCCGUGAUGGCAACUCUUGGCUUACAAAUCCUGUUGGAGUCUGUUCGAGAUCUCAUCUCCCAGGCGAGUGAUCUUUCUGUUGUCUGCUUUGUCGUGUCACUUGCAAACAAAUUCAUACCGUGGCUGGUAUAGAUUUGUUUGCAGAGUAGUUUGAAGGGGAGAACUUUAGGUUUUCUAAUGAGCUAACGUUAAUGGAAAGUCUCCUCUUGGGACCUGGAUAUUCUAAUCUUACUUGUACCGUUUCACCUUACAUUAAGAGGUUAUAAACUUCUUUCUUCUAAUUUUUUUUUUUUCAAUUAGAUACCGUUAGAAAUUUGUGGAAAUAAAAAUGUUGUUGCAUCACAGAUUGACCUAUUGGUUCACUUGCCACCUUAAUAGUAACCAAUUGUUUUAACCAGGCACACUUAAAAUACAGUAAAUAAAAUUUAGACUGUCGUCUUUUUUCUCCAGUUCACUCAUCUUAUCACAUUAUAUUUCAAUCAAAAUCUACAUGCAGUCACAACCAAAAACUGAUCGAGAGAAGGAGAUGUGGAUGAUUGGAAUUAUGGUUUCUGUUACAGCAGUGAAGUUUGCCCUUAUGGUUUAUUGUCGAAGAUUCAAGAAUGAAAUUGUCAGAGCAUAUGCUCAAGAUCAUCUUUUUGAUGUUAUAACUAAUUCUGUCGGUUUGGUGGCGGCUGUCCUAUCUAUCCGCUACUAUUGGUGGAUAGAUCCAGUUGGAGCUAUAAUAGUAAGUUCAUCUUGAGCAGUCCUACUUUUAGUUUUUCAAUUGCGUGUUUCUGACUAUUAUAGAAUUACUAUCCCCCCUCCAUCCUAUCAAUAGGUUUAUGUGGGGCACAACUUUUCUAAGCCAAUUUUUUACAUACUCCGCAGAUAGCAUUAUAUACCAUGACCACGUGGGCAAGAACGGUGAUUGAGAAUGUACGGGCGCUUGUUGGAAGAGCGGCCCCACCUGAAUUUAUAGCAAAGUUGACAUAUCUCAUUUGGAACCACUGUGAAGAGAUCAAGCACAUUGACACGGUGAGAGCUUACUCUAUUGGUUCUCUUUACUUCGCGGAGGUCGACAUAGUAUUGCCUGAAGACAUGCACUUGAAAAAAGCCCACAAUAUCGGGGAAACACUUCAGGAGAAGCUUGAGCGAUUGCCCAAAGUUGAGCGAGCUUUCGUCCAUGUUGAUUUUGAGUUUACUCACAGGCCAGAGCACGAGAAUAAAGUAAGAGGUUGAUGAUCAUAUGUGACCAUUUAGAUUUGGGUCGCAACUCCCUUUUCUUAUUCCGUUUAUAAUACUGCUUCUACUUGCAUUGGAAGGACAAGCCCAUGCAAAAGCAUCUUAUACCGACUGACAUGUACUGAAGAUCGAUGUUUGGUUAAAAGAAUGUUGAGAAUUACUUGUGAAAUAAUGCGCUAUCACUUUCUUCUUUCAUUGUGAUGACUGAACUACCUUCAGAGAAAGAUGCUUGAAUCUUCCCUUUCCCAAGACCAUAGCUUUUUCCUCCAGGGAAGCAUUCUUCCCAGCCCCAGUGCUUCUGUGUAAUAACUCUACAACUUUCUCGAUACAAAGAAUGCCACUCUUAUCCAAGCGUCCUAGGUGGGAAUUGUCAAAAGGGUUGAGCCUUGGGGUGGUACAAACGGUCCUACGGUGAAAUUUUACUAUCAAAUUGCUGAUGCGUCAUUCUCUUCGAUGAAUUAAGUACAAAAUGACAUCAUUUUCGGUGAUGACGUGGCUAUAUAAACACAAAACGACUUCAUUUUGCUUAUGGAUUCAGAUUUUUAAAUAAAUAAUAAUUAAAUAAAUUAAAAGAACUAUUAAAAAAGAAGAAGCAAUAGCAGCGUUUGACAAGGGUUGUGUAGACCCUUGCCAUUGCUACCCCACCAUUGCUGGCAAGGGCCAACAAUGGUGUGGGGGGGGGGGGGUCAGUCGGGAUUGUCGAGCCUUAGGCAAGGGCUAGGGGCCGACGGCCCUCGCCGAAUUUGGAGGAGGGUUGCGACCCUGCCUAGGGCUCAAUGACCCUGGUUGACUCUUCCCCAUCGUAGUUGGCAAUGGUGGGGCAACGAUGGCAAGGGCUGUACAGGCCCUCGUUGAACAUUGCACAUGUUUUUAUUAUUUUUUAUUAUUUUUUAAUAAUAAAUUUUGGUUAUUUUAAUUUAUUUUAAUAAAUAUAUACAUUAAAAUUUGAUUUUUGAGACAAAAUGACGUUGUUUUGAUCUUUGUUGCUGAUUCAACUUUCUAAUGUGUCAUGUAAAUCACUCAUAUUAUUGAAAAUGCGACAUCGGAUUUCCGGCCACUAUCACUGGAUUUAACACUUAAAUAUCAUUUUUUUAAAGUGAUACUUAAGUGUACAUUUUGGAAAUUUUGGUACUUAAGUGUCCAUUUGUGCCAAAUUUUGGUAUUUGCGCUGUACUUUAGCGUGUGUUUGGUGGCCUUUCCUCCUACAUGAACAUGAGGAAACCAUAUUACACAAUUUGAGGAUUGAACCGCAUGAGCUUCAUAAGGAAUAUGCACGGCACAAGUUUUUUUCUUGGGCUACCAUACUAAGCUAAUCACAAACGGUGUCGUCAAAUGAGCUUUCUACACCUCCUAAUUAAUCCGCUUGCUUUCUCUGAAGAAUCAGUCUGGCACAGUUUUUCUUUAAGUAGAUAGCUAGGAGAGUAAGGGUGACGUUUGAUAUGAGGUUUAGAAUCUAUAGAUGUGACCAAAUUGCCAAUGCUGCACUUCAUUAUGUGUGCGCAUGGAGGUCAUAUGCUUUGUUACAUACAUAUGUAGACACAUAUACAAAUCUAUGAAUAAUACAAAUGUGCAAAUAUGGGGCAAGUGGCUCUAGGGUAGAUGCUAGAAAUAUCAAGACCCCAUGAUAAAACUUGUUCAUAACUGAAGAUGGGACAUUAAGCAUCUAACAAAUCAACUACAUGAUGCUCCAAAGUUCACUUAACUUCAAAUUUAUAACUUAAUCAGUUCAAUGAGACGGAUAAUGAGUCUGAAUACUAUCGGAGCAUCCCAAACGAUUACACGCGAAAUCUUUCUCCCUUUCUUCGUUUUCUCCUUGUUCUGUGCUGGUUUCAAUGACUUCUUCUUCUUCUUGUUGUUUUUUUUUUUUAAUUAUUAUUUUUUUUUUGGGUCAGAUGGCUUCCAUGACUUCAACGCGUAUCAUAUGACAUGUGAAGGAAAAUGAAGGCGGGCUGAGUUGGGCCAUCACUAUGACAUCUGCAGAUCGAGACCUCUUAGAAGAUGUGGAGCCACGUGCUAGGUCCUUCGUAUCGGCAGAUUUAAACUCAACAUCCUUAGAGAAGAAAAGACAAACUAUCAAAUUAAUUUUUGUUUCACAAACGAGAGUACCUUUCAGUUGCCAAAACAACAAGAAAGAGAAGGAGGAGGAGAAGAAGAGAAGCCACCUCAUAACUACAAUCUUCCAUGGUUAAAAAGAGAGCCGUAUCUAUUAUUUACUUGCCUAGAAAGAAAAGAAGAAGAAGAAGAAGAAGAAAAGCCACCUCAUAACUACAAUCUUCCAUGGUUAAAAAGAGUGCCAUAUCUAUUAUUUACUUGCUUUUUAAGUAAAGUCCACGCCCCCUCACAAAUCUUCUAGUACAAGGAACCCAGUCCCGUGAAACGCGCCGGCGUUGCUGCUUUUCCAUCUCGAAUAUAUUCAGUGCACCUUGCGUCAAUAUAAGUUCGUUUGCGCAAUUGAGAAUUGACACGUCACAGCCACCGUCUCUCCGGCCACCGUAGAAUCCACCGUCUCCAUCUUCGACACCCACCUCCCCCACCACCGUGGCGUCAAUAUGUUAUUGGCUCAGAGUGGGAAAAAGAAUGCACGCCGCGUCAAUGCUCGCGUUUUCUCGCUGCCGGCCAUUCCACCCUCCUCGCCCUGUUAACGUCUCGCGCAACUUCGGGGCACGGGUUAAAGAGAUGGAGCUUCGAGGAAGCUUCCGCCUCUCCUUCCUCGCCGCCCCCUCCCUCCUUCCUCCUCAUCCGCUUUGUUUAAUGUGUACCAGAAGUCGGAACAAAGUCAAAAGCUUGCUCCCCUCUGCUUUUCGCGGGGAUAUAUACAAUUGCACGCACGCAUCCAAACCAAAGCGGUGGUGGAGAGGUGUGGUGGCUUUCUGAAAAAGUGUAUCAGGAAUCGCGGCAUAUGGAGCACACAAGGCUUCCUCUCACCGACGAUCCUCCUCCUUCCUCCAUGGACGUCUUCGGUGACGACGACGACAACGACUCCUCCUCCGCUCCCUCAUGGCGUCUCCGCCUCACCGAGUUCCGCCUCCCUCCCCGCGACCCCCACGAGCCCCACUCUCGCUUCUCCUGCCGCCGCCUAUUCUCUGCUCCGAGUAUGUAUCUAUUUCCCUCUACGGCGCUUUUGACAUUUUCGCUGAUUGAUGGAAAUUGACGAGCUGCGUCCUGUAUAUAUCAUUCUCUGUCAACUUCUCUUGCGAAAGCGCCACCAUGUCUGUGACCGGCCUGCUUCUACUUGGUCCGUGAUUUUGUGUGUAUGUAGGGUUGACUUUUUGGGCUUGGUCCGCCUUGGUAGCUUACCACUGUGGUGAUUGGAACCGAAAAUAACACGUACUUUCAUCGCUUCACGUGUUUGGCCUGUUGUCUUGCUUCUAUUCGCUUAUUUUCGGUGGGGUGGAAUCGGUUCAUUUCUUAGCUACGCUGAGUACGAAGUCGCUUUGGAGCUUCUCUCUCUUCUUCUUUUUUUCCCCUGGUUAUAUUCUUCCAGCCAGAGGUGUCACUGUCAAUCCCCACAAACACAGAUCGGAAGUCAGCGAAGUCUGACUUGUUGCUUCUUUAGACCGUCCGCAUCCAUCCCGGCGCAUCCUCUCAACUUAGCUUUCUGCAAAACCCCACAAAAUUGUUCGAUACAGGGGAAGUCAUCCUGUAAGCGUCAUGUAAGCGAAAUGGAAAUUGGGUAUGGAGCUUUAAAAUGUUUGAGUGACAUGUGAUGGUUACUCUCACCCGUGGUCAAAAUCAGGUCAUACUGUUGGAGAGUCAAGUCAUAUCAUAGAAUGUUAUUGUACUUUCCACCUCACGGGCAGCUGUUUUGAUUUAAGUGCGAACCUUCUUUCUUUGGGUUGUCAGUGCUUAGAUUGUAUUCUAUAAUUUCAAUUCAGGGAAACAGCGCAAGCUAGCAGAAUAUUACAAGAAACAGGAAAGCCUCUUUGAAGGGUACAAUGAGAUGGAAUCCAUGACUGAGUCAGAGGGUUUUCCUGGAAGCCUCACUGAGGUAGAUUCUCUAUAGGUCACAUCUUCUUACAUUUCAGUAGUUGCAGACCUUAGUAUUGUGAAUUCUUACUCCUAGAAAAAGGAGAUUCUUUAGUAUAUCGAAAUGCUUCUCCACUUGGUAGCUCUCAAAGCAAGAGAAACAGUCGUGGAGAUCUUUCACAACUUCUGUUUAAAUUGGAGACUAAACAUGAGUUUAUGAUAUUAUAUUUCAAGUUUUCUAAGAAGAAAUUGUUUCUAAUGAAUGAACUGCAUUUUGUCAGGAUGAAAUGAAGCAGCUCGUAAAGAGUGAAAGAUUUGCAAUCCAUAUUUCGAACUUAGCAAAUAUUGUGCUUUUCAUAGCAAAGGUCUACGCUUCUGUUGAGAGCAGAUCACUGGCGGUUAUCGCAUCAACCUUGGAUUCUUUCUUAGAUCUACUAUCGGGUUUUAUUUUGUGGUUCACGGCAAAUUCAAUGAGGAACCCAAACCAUUAUCGUUACCCCAUUGGUAAGAGGCGGAUGCAACCAGUGGUAUGUUCCCCUGCUUCCUUGGAUAUAAAAUUUGUUGUUGAUUCAUGGGUAAACAUUCUAAUUGAAUCUGACUUUUCUUUGCUCCUACUAAAUUUCACUAGCCUAGCCUAGUUUUAUGACUAUAACUUGAUUCUUCUGUCCUGCCUUCUUUUCUGUUUGUUACGUAGCUUGAUUUACAAUGGCAUCCUCAUUAUUUGAUAGCUUCAGCUAGCUAAAUUUAUGUGAGACUUCAAAAAUAAAAGACGAGCCACUUACUGUGAUAAUGCAUGGCUCUGUUGAAGUACAUCUCCAAAUUAUAGUCAAUUUCCCUUUGCCUCAACAGUUAGCUCACUGAAGAAGGCGGCGUCAGAUAUAGCUUUGUAUAAAGGAGAAACCAGUCGAAAGGAAAAAUAAGACCAUGUCUUUUUUAGAUACUAGGAGCUAAUGACCCCAGUAUUACCACUACAAAUUCUAAAAUAUCUAGAUCAGAAUAAUGUAUUGAUGUAAUCGAUCUUUGUGAUUAAGCUACAAGUCUAAUGGUAUUGACGGCUUGAAAAUGCAGGGUAUUAUUGUAUUUGCUUCAGUAAUGGCAACUCUUGGCUUGCAAAUACUGUUGGAGUCUUUUCGAGAUCUUCUCUCCAAGGCAAGUGAUCUUUCUGUUGCUUGCUUUGUCGUGUCACUUGCAAACAUAUUCAUACAGAGGCUGGCAUAGUCUUGUUUACAGAGCAGUUUGAAUGGGAGGACUAGGUUUUCUAUUGAGUUAACAAUAAUGGAAAGAAGGCUUUGAGUCUCCUCUUCGGACUUGGAUAUCCUAGUCUUACUUUACUAUUAGAACUUACAUUAAGAGGAUAUGAACUUUUUUCUUUUGAUAACCACCGGCCGUGGUGGCUCUGUUGUGUAGGCUUCUGCCUUUGAAGGGAAAGGCUAGGUGUUCGAAGCCCCUGCAACGCAAGUUGCAGGAAGGCUGGCAGACCAUUAGGUGUAUUACGUGUGGCGCCCUAGUGGUGGGUCCUGGGCUAGCGUCACCUGGGGGUUUACGUGGCGACUGUCGGCCAAAGCGGUUCUUCCAAAAAAAAAAAAAAAAAACUUUUUUCUUCUGAUUGAUGUUGCUGCAUCACAGAAUGACCUAUUGGUUCACUCGGUUUGGCUGCCACCUUGCCAGUAACCAUUGUUUUAAGCUGGCGAACUUAAGAUGCAGUUACUAAAGCUUAGACUUCAUCCCAUCCGUCCAGUUCACUUAUCUUAUGCCAUUAUUUUUCAAUCAAAUCUACAUGCAGUCACACUCAAAGACUGAUCGUGGGAAGGAGAAGUGGAUAAUUGGGAUUAUGGUUUCUGUUACAGCGGUGAAGUUUGCCUUGAUGGUCUAUUGUCGAAGAUUCAAGAAUGAAAUUGUCAGAGCCUAUGCUCAAGAUCAUUUUUUUGAUGUUAUAACUAAUUCUGUCGGUCUGGUGGCGGUUGUCCUAUCUAUCCGCUACUAUUGGUGGAUAGAUCCAGUUGGAGCUAUAAUAGUAAGUUCAUCUCGAGCAAUCCUACUUUUAGUUUUUCAAUUGUGUGUUUCUGACUAUUAUAGAAUUACUAUCCCUCUCCAUCCUAUCAAUGGGUUUAUGUUGGGCACAACUUUUCUAAGCCAAAAUAUUACAUACUCUGCAGAUAGCAUUAUAUACCAUAACCACGUGGGCAAGAACGGUGAUUGAGAAUGUACGGUCGCUUAUUGGAAGAACGGCCCCCCCUGAAUUUAUAGCAAAGUUAACAUAUCUCAUUUGGAACCACCAUGAAGAGAUCAAGCACAUUGACACGGUGAGAGCUUACACUUUUGGUUCACAUUACUUCGUGGAGGUGGACAUAGUGUUGCCUCAAGACAUGCUCUUGAACCAAGCCCACAAUAUCGGGGAAAAACUUCAGGAGAAGCUGGAGCAAUUGCCUGAAGUUGAGCGAGCUUUCGUCCAUAUUGAUUUUGAGUUUAGUCACAGGCCUGAGCACAAGAAUAAAGUAUGAGCUAGAUGAUCAUAGCUGACCAUUUAGAGGUAGACGACCAUAUCUGAGCGUUGGGAGGAGAAGCCCAUUCAAAAGCAUUUUAUACCGACUGACAUGUGCUGUAAGAUUAAUUUUUGGCUAAAAUAAUGUUAUUAUUAGUAGAGCUACUUUGGAAAAAAUGCGCCCCCUUUGAAUGGAAUUGUAAUAAUGAGGAGAAGAUCCUUUUCCCAGUGGACGAUGCCAUUUUUAAGUGAAAUGAAACCGCUAUGUUUGGUGGCCUCUCCUUCUACAUGAACAUAAAGAAAGCAUAUAAGGCAUAUCCGAGGAUCAAACUGCAUGAGCUUCGUAAGUAAAAUGCAGGGCUCGAGUUUUUUCUUUUGCUACCACAUUAAUGCUAAUUACAAAUGUGUUGUCAAAGGAACUUCCUGCUUCUCUGAAGAAUCAAUCUGGCAUGGUUUUUCAUUAGGUGAGCAGGAUCUACGGACGUGAUUAAGUUGCCAAUGCCCUACUUCAUAUUUGUCCGUCAUAUGCUUUGUUAUAUGAAUACGUAGAUGUAUACAGAUCUAUUAACAAUAUAAAUGCUGUCUCUAGGAAAGAUGCUAGAAAUAUCAUAAGUCUGUGACAAAACUUGUUCAUAAUUGAAGAUGGGAUAUUCAGAGAGUAACAGAUCAACUACUUCGUUGAUGAGUCUCACUCAUUUCAAUACCCAACAUUCAUGUGUCACAGGUCGGUUGAACACGAUUGAUCAAACAGAUCACCGCGCGGCCUUAGGAUUUGUGAUCCCAAGUCAGCCUACUCACUCACACGCACCACACAAGGGUUGGCUGCACAAGGGGUGAAUGUAUUUCACUAUGAAUGAGCUGAGCUCAAAUGAGGGGGAGGGACCCCUUUUAUACAAGUUCGGGUCAAUUCUCGGCCGUGGAUCGUCCCUCCGAUCCAACGGCUGUGUUUGAACAAUGGCCAUCAUUACAAAUCAACUCAGCAAGCCGCUCAAGGGCUGCAAGCCUUGGGAAACAGCCAUAGGCCAGGCGCAAGUCAGAAGCAAGAUCAGGGGCAGCAUGGACGUGUCAGGGCCAGCAUGGGCGAGCAUGGCUGUUUGACACGGAGCAGGUGAACCACUCCUGGCUUGUGUAAGGGCUGGCCGAGGAUUGAUCAGGAGCUGCUUGCUGGUUGUGCACGGAUCAUUCCCUACAUUGUGCACGGGCGAAUCAGGCACGGAUCGCAGAUCGUGCAAGGGCCGAUUGGUGGAUCGGUCAGGGAUCAAUCAAGGGUCGAUCGGGGACUGAUCAGUGAUCGAUCAGGGAUCGAUCAUGGACUGAUGCGGGAUCGGUUAGGGACUAGUUGGGACAGGGAUCGAUCAGGGCGUUCCCAGCAAUGCCCUGGUGCGUGACAUGGCCGCGCACGGAUGGUCUUGGGCAUGCACCGUCCGUGCUCGGCCGUGUCACAUGCAUCAACUUCUACUUUUCUGGCCAUCAAAUUAGCUUGGCAAAAUAAUAUGACCAAAUCCCUCUCAUUCACCACACCCAAAUGCAGAGCCGAACCUCGUUUCUGAAACUCUGAAGGUCAUUCGUUUCUUUUUCUUCAUUGAUGCUCUGCACUACCAAAAAACAAACUGCAGGAGAUGUAUUUCGCAGGUUUCCUCCCUUUCGUUGAGACGUAUGCCAGGAACAUUGUGGUUUGCUAUUCCAUUAUUAACUGCUAUAGGUCACGACUCUCCUGAAGGUCAACUACUAAGAGAAAAGUGGUGGAUUACUUAGCUCGGACGCUUCGAAGCCCAAUCACAACUUUGAUCCUCAAUUCAAUUGUGCAAUUCAAAUCAUUUUGGAGCUGCCACAACCUAUUAUGGAUCAAAUAGGAAUCCAAGUAAAGCACGUGAGUCUGUUUUAUUUUCGUGAACUAGAGAAUCGUGAGUUUAGGAACUUGACAUUAGAUUAAUCUAACAUCAUUUCAAUACAAUUUUUUUCUCUUUUUAUGAAUGCGUUUGUCAUUCAAUCUUCAUCAUUUUCAUCAUCCUAAAUUGCUAACAUGUGAAAAUAAUCAUAAGAUAAACACCCAAUAAUCAAAGUAGUAAAUAAAUUAACCGCCCCAGUGACACAUCAACCAUGCCCCUUCCCUUUCUCCGAUCAUCAAGCCCUCCCGAUCACUUUCUUUGUCUUUCAUCCCCCUGAACAGCCCGUUCUUUUGAAUUUAAAAAAGAAAACGGGUGAACAUGUUUCCCCUUUGAAGUGGCGAAGGCCUAAUGCCUGAAGUAAGCAAAAAGAUAGGUGAAGGUUACGAAGUAAGUCGGCUGGUUAAGGAAAGCUCAGAUUAUGAAAUCGCUUAGCUGUUAAAUUAAUUAAAUUAAUGAAGUUCCCAUUUCAGGUUUCGGUGACUCUUCCUUCUCUUCUCUUUGGAGUGUGUUCAAGCUUAUGAAUUUGAGCCGAGGCCAAAUAAACGCACUUAGAAUCAUUGGUGAGAUAGAAUUAACUUACCACAAUAGGUAUUUGAUUACAAAUAUAAUAAAGAAGAUCUUCAAGCCUACCUCGAAAGAGUCAAUUGCCCAUUCCCCAUAGUUUUGGAUUCCGUUGUCCCUUUGCGCUUUGAUUAGGCCCACCUGCUGCUUCAUGCAAUAGCACGCUUCAAAGCAAAUGAGCUUCACCAGCUAUACAUGCAAUAGCACGCUCCGAAGCAAACGAGCUUCACCAGCUGUAGCCUUAUGAACUAGUCAAGUAGCUUCUUUCCGGCAAAGCUUACCAAUCCUACACUCCUUUCUCCUAUUCUCUGUCAAGUGGAGCCUUUCAGACAUCGACAAACCAAAAAGAUUCUGUCUCUCAUAAGGAGUCCUAAACAAAUCUACCGUUUUGGACGUACUCAAGGGCUUGGCUUGCCCAAAGGAGCCGCUUCUUACACUUUUCCAAUAGCUUAGUACUCAACAAGGGAAGAGGGAUAGCACUGAGCAACUGGCAAAGUGAAUUAGUCGUUUGAUUUCAAGUUCCACAGUAGGAUAAGGAAAAAUUAAGGAACUUGAAAUGCAUCGAGCAACCCUAAGGAAAGCCAAAUCAUUGAUCCCCAAGAUGGGAGCCUUGUAAACUAUCAGUCAGAACAUAACGAUGCAAUGAUAUAAUCUGGCCUACAUGUGAUGUAUACAACUUUUAUGAUUAUGUAUGGAACCUAAUCUAAUCUUUUUGGUUUUUUCUUCCUUUAAUUACCAUGACAAAUUCAAAAUUAUCUCUUAAUAUACCACAUGGCCGAAACUCUACAUGCAUGCAUAACUUGAAUUACCAGAUGAAAUGCAUGAUGAAUAACAUGAAUUAAUCCUAUCAUGCAACAAUUAACUAGACAUAACCUAAACGAGACAUUAAACUAAUUUCUUUUGUGGUUCUUUUUCUUUGAUUAAUGAAUGCAAAAUUAAUCCCUUGAAAGAGUACGUGGACAAGACUCUGCAUGUUAAGCCAACAUUCAUGAAAUUAAACUAAUUCACAGGAAAAAUAUGAUGAGAAUCGCAAAAGUUGCUGAGGCGACUGAUACAAACCUGUGGUGAUUUUGGUAGAAGUUGUUGAGCUGGUAGUAUCCAUAAAUAGGACGCUUCAUAUGCUUGGGCACCUGAUGAAAAAACAAAGUGGAGGAGAGAUCCCCUGUUAUAAUUAUGGUUAAUGGAUCAUAAUAGCUAACAAAUUAAGAUACGUCUUUUCUAUUCACGUAUCUAUUGAAUUUAUGAAUUUCCUAAAUUCAUCUAUCUUUUAAUUCAUAUAUUUAUUGAGUUUACGAAUAUCUUGAAUUCACGUGUCUCUGGAUUCAUGAAUUUUUUGGAUUCACGUAUCUCUUGAUUCAUGAAUUUCUUGGAUACAUGCAUCUAUUUAAUUCAUGUAUCUCUUCUGUAUAUGACUCUAUAAAUAGAUAAGAGCAUAGAACUUCAUGAGACGGUUUUCGAUAGUACAAUUCGAGACAAUGAUUCCAAAAGAGAUUUGAAAUACUACUAUACUCUUCUGAUUUUUUUGGAUGUACUGGUUCAAUUAAACAGUUCGACUGAGUCCUGUUUGCAUAGUGUUAAUCCAAACAGAUUUGAGGUGUUGUAUUUUGGGAGACAUAGUUCAUGAAUCUGCGGAAUACCAUUGGUAGGAACUAAUCGCCUUAAGGAGAUUCGGAUAUCCGUACCCCACCUCCAAUUUUAUGUUAUUUUUCCAGUAAUAUCUUAUUUUAUUCUUCUUCAAGAUUUGUAAGUUUACAUAAAAAUAAAGAUAUUAUAAAGCUGUUACCGUCUUCUUUACAUUGAUGUUCUGAUUAACAGUUUGCUUUCUCUAGAUUAUAUUCCAACACCCCCUGAGUUUCACAUAAUCGGUGUGAUCUUCUUUCAACUAAUAGUGGACAGUUGGAGGGUUAUUCAAGUUUUAAGUGCAACUAAUGCAUUAUUAAGUCCAGAAAAAACUUACUCUUGACAUCCUGUUGCAGGUUUUGUCCCCAGGUAUCUGUAUGUUCUGGACUCUAUCGGUUCUAUUGGAUGCUGGUAAGCACUCAAUGUCGUACUGAUCAAUCAUCUCGACAGCCUAAAAAAUAAGGAUAUAUAUAUAUAAACUACUGCACAUUAUCAUAAUGAUGAAAGCAACCAGCCUCGGGAUUAAGCUUACAUCACGGGAAGCAAACAAAGAGGCAAGUCCAAUUGGAAGGAAAACAAUGCUAACCAGCAUGAAUGCUGAAAUCACCUGCACAAAAAAUGGGAGACUUCAGUAUUUUUAUCAGGAAUUGGCAAAUGGUUACGAGAUGUACAUAUUUUAGACUUGGUUAUCUUUGAGGGUGCGUUCUUCGAUGGAAGGACAACUAUGUCGUCAUUUUGUUCUUGUUAAAGUCAGGGUGUGACAAUACCUUGUCGAUUUGGGGGUAAAAUGUACAGCACAAAAUGGUUGGUCAUUCACUCUUUCAAAUGGGGUAAACAUUUCUUCUUUUUCUCUCCUUCAGCAAAUGUUCAUUUAGAAUCUUUCAGAACAAAUUACUGUAAUAUAGAAACAUUCGACCGCGAAUAUACAUUCCCAGGUCUGUUUUAGUUGUAGGAUUGCCUCAUGGAUUCUCGAAUUGAAGGAAUUGAUCUGGUUUUAUCCUACAUAAGCAAAUUUUGCUACCCAAAAUAUUUUCUUGACGGAGGCGAAAUAACCCGAAAAUGAAAAGAGAAAACCCCUAACCAACUUGCAGUUAAAGGGGGCCAUCACUAUGGGGUGGUCACCUUCACAAUGACUAUUGCUACAACUUAGAAAGGACCGACACUCUCUGAAAGUUUUCGAGUUGUGUCGGACACUCCGACAUAUGUUCGAUACUUUCGGACAUUCUCUAACACGUAGUCAAUACGUGUUGGAAAAUCCAACACCUGAUCAAUUGUCUUGAUACUCUCCGGCACUCGAGUCAAAAAUACGAAAUGUGAGUUUUUGACACGUGAUUUCAAUACAUGAUAUCAAUUUUUAAAAAUUUCAAUAAAUGAUAGGUUAAAAUGUAUAUAUGUGAAAAAAUAAUAAUAAUAAUAAAUAAAGGAAGAAGAAAAGCCUAAUCUUCUCUUCUUUUCUGACUCUCACUUUUUUUGAUACAUAAUUCACCCUCCAAUGUUUUUUUUUUCCUUUUCUCUACUGACACGUCUGACAUGUGAGUCAAGAAUGUGAAUUGUUUGUUUUUUUCUUUCAAUUUUUAUGGAUAUUGGAAUGGAGUAGAAUUUGUCAAAUUAAAACAAUAAAUGAUACUAAUAAAUUAUGGAUUAAUGUUUUUAGUAUAAACUUAUUCUAAACUUUUUACUAUUAUUAUUUAUUUAUUUGUGAAUUUGAAUCAAAUUAACGUAAAAAUGAUAACUUAUUAUGUAUAUAUAAUACAUUUAAUAUAUAACGUGUUCUAACGUGUCAGAACUCUUUGUUUUUUGAGAAAUGACGUGUUAAUGUGUCUGUUCUGUUGUGUCGCGUGUCGCAUAUCGGUAUCAAUACUAGUUAGGCUACAACUACGGCAAAGGGUGACCAGAGAUGUUCACGACCCCAAUGGCAAAUGAAGAUAGAGAAUCCCUUUACUUAUGUUUUUGUUGAUUUUGUUAUCUUAUCCGGUCGGGUAAAAUUAUCUUCUCCCUAUAGUCCGAACAACUCAUCUGAGUUCUCAUUCAAAUCCAGAUUAUGCCGAUCUAUCCAAUCCGGCUCCUCGAACGUGCCCGCCCUUAUUGUUUAAUGAGCAAGGAUUUCAUUUGCCUAAGUAAACAACGGGGAGGAAACUCCUAGAGUCCUUUACCAAGGGCAGUCCAUAGCUGAAAUCUAUAUGAUGAAGAACAUCAUCUCAUCAGCAGUGGUAUUAAGAUCACCAACGUAGUGCAUCUUCAUCUUUCAAUGGUUUCCAUGCAAAGUAUAAUAAGGGUGCAUUUGGUAAUUGUUCUACUCUCUAAAAUAAUUUCUACUUAGAUUUUUUUUUUUUUUUCUGAUUCUAUUCCUUAAACGAAUUUUUAAGCAUUUGAAGGCAUUUGGUACGAUCCUUAAAUUCUUUUGUGACUUAAAAUUUCUUUUAAUUUUUAAAUAAUUUUAUUAAAUUUUUCUAUUUUUCUUCUUCUUCUUCCUUUAGCCAGUCACCAGCUAAGACCAAGGCCUAUGACUGGCUAAAGGAGGAAGAAUAAAAGGAAAAAAAGAAAAGAAAAUAGAUAAAAAGAAACAACUUUGAUUUUAGAAUUAUUCUUGAGAACAAAAAGUGACUUUUUCCCACUUUUUAGUUCUGUUUCAAAUCUAUUAUUGGAAAUAAAAAAAAUACCAAAAUAGAUUAUUUUUUGAAGAAUAAAAGAAUAAAAUUAAAUAUUAUUUAACAUGUUAUCAAAUAAAUCCUAUGUAAAAGUAGUCCACAUCAAAUUGGGGUCUCAUUUAUCAAGAAGUUGUAGGUUUUCAUUGAGUCGAGUCCGUGCUCGUCUAAAGAAGGCCCCCUGAUGAAGGAACCUCCCCCUUGGACAAGACCCUCAAAUGAUUCGCGUGCUUCUUAUCUUGUUACUUUUACCACUUGGUUUCGACACGGGACAUAAUAGAUUAGGGCGGCCCAUAAGGAGAAGGGAUGACGAUGUCGUAAAGGUGACUUCUUAUAUUUUAUUGCCUCUCACCGCCAGGUGGUUGAUUGAGAAAUGUGCCAUGAUUUGCUUUCAGAUCCUAAGCCUUUUGUGCGAUUCGAGUUGUCGUUUUCCCGGGGCAAGUGGAUUGGUUGGGAUUCCGAAAUGGGACUAUCGUACACGGAAUAAUGCUUAGUUUAUUUGAGCUAUAAUUAGGGUAAGUUAAGUGACGAAGUCGGGGAGCGUGGAAGAUAAGGUUAGGUGUCUUACACUCAGAUGUCACGCUCCUAAAAGCACUCACGACUCCUCUUAUUCGUUCUUUUGCCGUCACCGGAUAGAGAAAGGAGACCAUUUCUUCACGAACGCCUCGUGUGAUAUUGAGGCAAUGCCAUGGCUGUUGUAGUUAUUAAUGAGAGAUUUUUAUGGGGUCAUAACCAAUUGUUCUAAAAAUAUAAAUUGUUAAAUGGAGGUAUAGUUUAAUAUUUAUGAGAUAACUAUCGAUUUUAGAAGUUUAAGCUAUUAGAUCACUCUAACAGCUCAAAUGUCGUUUCAUUCUGAACUUUUUGCUUGGAACGCCAUUUGGGGGAAGGUGGAGUGCUUUUUGCGAUGGAGAAGCGAGAGGAAGCUUUGUCCUCUCCUUUUUCGCUGCCCACCCCAAUUUGUUUAAGGAACAAAUUCAAAAAAGCUUGGCUGUUUUGCUUUCGUGGGGUUUUGCCCCGUUUGGCAACACAGUCCCUGCUCUCUCCCUCUCUCCUUUUGGACUUUGCUCAUAUCAUCAUCAGCAGAAGAAAGUACUAUUACUCUUCUGAAGUUGCAUAAGUUGGGUGAAAUCUCGAGGUCGUGUGAGAACAAAAGCGUGCACAACGUAUCGAUGCUGCGACGUGAGAUGAAAGCGUAACUACUAUCUAAACCGGUAUUUACGGAACAGCUCGGUCGACUCAGUAAUUACAUUUGGGAGAUGUGCUCCUGGGAAGGAGAAGGACAUCUAAGAUGUAAUAUAUGAUGAUGAACAGGAUGUACAAAUGCAGGAAUUGGAAGUUGGCCAUUUGUCUGGUGACGGGAGAUGCUCGCGAAUGCCAGUUUUUUACCAAGUCUCGUUCCUAAUAUUAGGUACGAAGUUCGUCUAAAAUGGUGAGUGAGAGAGAAAGUGGGUUCACCAAUACCUUAUAUUAUUAAUACUAUGUUAUAUUAUAUUAAAUUAUAUUAUAUUAUAUGGUAUCUUUCUUGAGGCCUUCCCAAAAUGCAGUAAUUUAAACGAUACGUGCAUGCGUGGGUGGGUGGGUAUAUAAUAUAAAGAAUGGAAAGGUAGAGAUGAGAGCUUGGGCCUCCCAUCAUCCAAACAGGUCCCCUCCCCGGUGCGUCGUUGUGGCUUGCUUCCUGGAAAACCGACUCCGGAAUUACAGAUUUUCCUGGCGACAAUCAUGGAGCAGAACAGCCCCCAACACCUGAGCGUCACCAUUGGCGAAUCCCGUCGCGAGCUCCUCUCUCCCCUCCCCGACGAUCCUCCCCCUUCCUCCAUGGACGUCUUCGUCGACGACGACGACGGCUACGACGGCUCCUCCGCUCCCUCAUGGCGUCUCAGCCUCACCGAGUUCCACCUCCCUCCCCGCGACCCCCACCGCCGCCGCCCCCUCUCUCGCUUCUCCUGCCGCCACCUUCUCCCUGCUCCGAGUAUCUCUCUCUCUCUCUCUCUCUCUCUCUCUCUCUCUCUCUCCAUGCCGCUUUUUCCGUGGAAGUGAAACUGCCUCCGUCGUAGUGUCAAAAUCCUGGCAUUUCCAUUUCCUUGCUUAUUCGCCGUUAUGUAUCUCUGUUGCGUAAUCCAAGCAUCUCCCGUGUUACACUUCGCACGAUCGCCACCCUCCGUGCGAUCGCCUCAUGCUUCGGCUUCUCUCCAUCGAAAGCAGCGACGCCUUCUCUGGAACGCAUGCGCCGUCGCUAACUCCAUGAAACUACGUUGAUACCUUAGACCAUGCUUUUGACAUUUUCGCUGGUCGACGGAAAUUAACAUGCCGUAUCCUGUCUGCAUCAUUUUUCUGGCAACUUCUCUUGCAGAAGCGCCACAACGUCUGGGACCGACCUGCUGUUGCUUGGUCCGUGUUUGUAUUUAUGGGUGAAUUUGUGCUUGGUCCGCUGGGCAGUGUUCCACCGUGGUGGGAUCCCACAAUAACACAGAUAUUCAUUGCCAAGUACUUGGAAUUGUUGAUUAUGACAUAGCUUUCGAGCCUUUUUUUCUUUUCUUUUCUUCUAGCCAGCACCCAGCAGUAUCAAUCAACAGAAACGCGGAUGAAAGUUAACGAGGUCUGACUUGUUGCUUCAUUAGACCGUCUAAAUCCAUCGCACCGUGUCCUUUCGACUUAGCUUUCUGUAAAACCUGUCAAAACUGAGCGGUACGAGGAAAGUCAUUCCGUAAGCAUCAUUUUAGUGAAAUGGAAAUUGAGUAUGAAGUUUUAAGAUGUUUAGUGGCAUGUAAUGGCUACUCUCACCCGUGGUCAAAUUCAGGUCAUAGUGUUGGGGAGUCAAGUUAUAUUAUAGAAUGUUAUUGUGCUUUCAACAUUAGGAGAAACCGUUCAAGUCUGGAUCUCCUUAUUUUGCUUGUAACUGACUCAGAUUGUAUUCAAUAAUUCCAAUUCAGGGAAAGAGCGCAAGAUAGCAGAAUAUUACGAGAAACAGGAAAGCCUUCUCGAAGGGUACAAUGAGAUGGAGGCCAUGACUGACUCAGAUUGUUUUCCAGGAAGCCUAACUGAGGUAGAUUGCAUGUAGCUCAUAUCAUCCUACUUUUCGUUAGUUUCAGACCUCCGAGGGGAUUGUGCUUUCUUAGCUCUAGGAAAAGCAGAUUCUUCGGCAUAAUGAAAUGCUUCUCCACUGGGUAGCUGUUGAAGCAAGAGAGACAAUCAUUGAGAUAAUAAACCUGAUUUUAUGACAUUGUACUUCGAGUUUUCUAAGAAGACAUCGCUUGUGAUCAAUUAACUGCAAUCUGUCAGGAUGAAAUGAAGCAGCUCGCAAAGAGUGAAAGAUUUGCGGUCCAUAUUUCAAACAUAGCAAACUUGGUGCUUUUCAUAGCAAAGGUCUUCGCUUCUGUUGAGAGCAGAUCGCUGGCAGUUAUCGCCUCAACCUUGGAUUCAUUCUUAGAUCUACUAUCAGGUUUUAUUUUGUGGUUCACGGCAAAUGCUAUGAGGAAACCAAACCAAUAUCAUUACCCUAUUGGUAAGAAGCGGAUGCAACCAGUGGUAUGUUCCCCUGAUUCCUUGGUUAAAAAAUUGUCGCGGAUCCAUGGGGAAACACAUGAAUCGAAUCGACUUUUCUUUUGCUCCCACUUAAUUUCGCUAGCCUUGCCUAGACCUAUGACUAUUAACUAUUGUUAUGGAUUACUUUCUCCCUUACUACUGGAAAAACGAGAUGUUCGAUUCUGACUGACCAUGUAACUUGGUUCUUCUGCCGUGCCUUCUUUUCUCUUUGUUAUGUCACUCGAUUACGAUGGAGUGCUCAUUUUUCGAUAGCUUUAGCAACCGUGAUAAUGCAUGUGUUAUCUUUAGAUAACAGCUGGCUGCUUAGUUGAAUUACAACAACAAAUUAUACUCAAUUUCCCUUUGUCUCUAUGAUUAGCUCACAAGAGAAGGCAGUGUCAGAUAUAGUUUGUGUAUAGCAGGGCUAUUGAAGUACUGUAGGAUGAAGCGUGGCACUGAUGACGGGAACCAAAUUGCCAUGCAGACCAGGGGUGACCAAAAAAUGACAAGAGUAGACGGUUCUGGUUUGAUUUGGCUUCAGGUCGAGAUUAUGUUGGUGGUGUCUUGAGUGUAUCCAUUGUUGGGUCCCUGUGGUCCGUUACUUACGAAAACCUGAUCAAUAUGAAUUUUAAGUUGUACUUAAUCCAUCUCUGAUAUUGAUUAACCACGUGAAGUACUUAAGACUAAAUAGCAUCAGAGCUAAGUGAAAUUUGGGAUGUUACAGUUCUGGUUUCACAGCGGAUUAUGGAGAGAUUAGGUGGAUUAGGAUUAGGAAGACAGAGCUGCUUUGGUUUUCGGAGUGAUGAGGUGAUUCAAGGCUUAGAGAAUGUAAUAGCCUGUACCCAUGAGAAUUACUAGGAUUUACACAAGUUAAUAUUAGGUCAUUACGAUUCUGAGAUCAAAGCUAAGUGAAAUUUGUGAUGUUACAUGUGGUGUUGUCUUACAAUCCUUCGUUUUAAUGUCCAAACACAAUAAAUCACAGUAAUGAGAGAGAGAAGAGGGGAGGGGGGGGGGGGGGGGGGGAGAGAGAGAGAGAGAGAGAGAGAGAGAGAGAGAGAGAAU